rnacentral:lncRNA from 1 species
CAUCAGAUGCACCGGUUGAUAUGAGCGAGAGUUUUGGAUUAACAAACAUCAAAUCCACUCCACUUGAAGUUCUUAUCUCCCCACGCUUGGCUUCUUAUGAUCUUUAUGAGUAGAACUUGAGGUCGCUAAGAGACUUAUUUCAAAAAACCUAGUGCUAUGAAAUGUGAAAUAAAAAUAAAUUUCAUACAUGUAGCAUAAGUUUAGUAUUAUUUUAAAGCAGUUACUAAUGUGUGUCCUUUAGUAUUGUCUUAGCUUGAAUUUAAUAAAAAAAUAUUUUCGACAACUAUUUUGUGUGGACAAGUAAUGACCCAAUUUCUUGUUAUGUUUCUUCAUUCUUCCAUGAAAGAGAAUUUAGAAGAAAAAGUGGCAUAUAGCAUUACAAUUGAAAAAUUAAUAAGCAUGUACUCCACCAUAUGCAUAUAUAUGCAUAGUAGACUUAAUGAAUUUCCAAGUUGAUUAAUUGGUAUCUCCUUUUGAUAGAUUUCAGCCACCUUUUUGUACAUGAUUAAAGUAGUAAUGGAGACUAAAAUUACAACUCCCAUUUCAUUGUAAAAAGUUGGGAUGUGCAAGGUGGGUCAGUUCAAUUUUGGGCAUUAAAAUCGAAUCGAAUCGAAUUGAACCCAAAAGAGGAAAAUGAUUAGUUUGACUUGAUUAACAAUAAUCUAAGUUGGUUUAUUUUGCUUCUAUUUAUAACAUCAAUUUUUUUUUUAAUUUGAACGAAAAUAAUAUUAUUGAAGCAAGUCAUCUUUGGACGGUUGAAAUGAUAUUAUUACAACUAAUUUCAAAUCAUAUUAUUAUAACUUAAUGACAUGAAUAGGUAUUAUUGUAACCCAUGUCAAUCAUAUCAAAUAGUCCAAGUCAUAGAUAAAAGUUAUAAAGGUGUGAUUGGGAGUUCCAUCCAAUGUGAAAAAUGUAUACCAAAUUAAUAAUGUAACCAAUUGUUAUACUGUAUAUUAUUAUUGUGUGUGUAUAGCUUUCAAUUCAAUUCAGUUUGGUUCAUUAAUUUUUUUUUAUAGGUAAUUGAAUUGGUAUAACUUAGGUUUAUAUUUUUAAAAAUAAAAUCUUUAAAAAUUAAUAGAUUUGGGUCAAUUCCAUUGAUUUUGUCAAUCGUACACCCUAAAAGAAGGGAUGUCCACUUAUCAUCCAUAACUUUGUGUACUCCUAAGUUAGAAUUUUGCCCCAUGUGAUUCACAUUUGUACUUAUUAUUCUCAAAUUUUCGUACAAAUGAUUUAUUGUUUUGUGGAAUUUUACUCCAUGAGAUUCACAUUUGUACUUAUUAUUAUCAACUUUGUCUGCUCUUAAGUUACAAUUUCUCCUAAUUAGAUUCACAUGCGUUAUUGCCAUAAUUGACUUUCCACAUUUAUGCAUGAAUUAUUAUGUCAAUAGAUGCAUUAUCAUUUUGUCAAGUUAAUUUGACUUAGGUUAAUCACCAAAGACAAGGUGAAUUAAUUGACUCAAUUUUAAUAAAUUUUAAUUUAAAUGAGUGCAAGUAAUAAUAAUAAAACAGUAAAAAAAUACAUAAUUAAAUAAAUAAAAAGAAGAGAUAACUGGUACAAACUCCAAUUUAUAUUUUGCUCAAUCCUAUACUCUCCUCAAGCCCUCAAAUGCAAAUUGAGGGUUCCACUAGCUUUUAAGACUUCAAUCAAACCUUAAUCCUUUACACCUGGAUUCUCAAUUUCAAUGAUCUUUUUACACUUUAAUUCAAGAAAUUCCUCACUCUUGAACAUACUCAAAGGUAACACUUGAACAACAUUGAUCUCACAAAGUUUUAUUUACAGAUAAUAUAAAUGAAAACUUAAAUGGUUUUUUUUGGUUAGGAUUUCUAAAUUAAUAAGGAUUUUUACAUUAAAAAGAAAGAGUUAAGAUCAACUGGGUUUUGUAAGAUUUUGAUAUAUAUCUUAGUUUGCGAGUUUUUUGGGAUUAUAUUGUAAUCUUAUUGUUUUAUCCUAAAAUUGUCAAAAAAAGAAAUUAGUAAUUUAGUAUGGAAAUUUUACUCCAAAGAUUAUUGAUUAAAAAUUAUUUUACUAAUACCAACGUGUAAGAGUUAAAGGCAUAAAAUUGAAAUUAAAGUAAGUUUAUUAUUUUGGAUUUUGUUAAGUAAUGACAAGAUUAAUAAUUGAAAUUAAUGUAAAAAGAAGUGUAAAAACUUUAAAACUUUAAAAUAUCAUUUCAUUAUUAGUUUCCACUUGCCAACAUAGACUUCUCAUUCUAUUCUAACAAGUUUUUUGUACUUUUAUAUAUAUAUAUUUCAUAAACUUAACAAAGGAUACAAACAGCAAAAGAAAAAAAAAAUUGAGCUACUAAACCUCAAUAUAAAUUUGGGGUGAAUUGUCAAGGUCUAUUAAGGAGCAUGGGGAAGUACUGUAUCACAGAUCAAUGUGAAGAUGUAUAUAUAUUUAUAGUAUAGAACCUAAGAGAACGUUUCUUUCUAAGUUAGGUAAACAUUUCUGUCAAAGUUGAUGAAAUUUUACUAUAAUUUAUAUACACAUGCUUUCAGUGUGCAUAUAAAUUAUACGUGGAGAUGAUUUUUAACUUAUAUCUUGCUUUUUAUAUGUGAUUUAAUAUUGUUUUGGAUUAUUGAUUAUGACUUAUGAAUUAUCAUGCAUGGAACUAAUCAAAAUGAUAUAAUUAAAUUAUAUUAAUGAAUUUGAGAUAGACAUGGCAAUUAUUAAUUUAAAAUAUCUUAUAUGAACAUAAAAUUUUAAAUAUAGACUCAUAAUUUAUAUUAAAAUAAUAAAAUUAAAAAAGUACGUUUAUCUCAGAUUUAUGCCUAGGGCCCAAAUUUUGCUGAGAGACGGCCGGAUGUCAUCACAUGCAAGAAAGCUAGGAAACAAAGCUAAAGUUUGCUUCUUGUGUGGGAAGAGGUACUUCCGUGCUUGACUGAAAGAAAGGAUUUUCUACAAGAAAAAUUGUCCCCUUGUUUGUAAAGCCUCAAGUUGCGACAGCAAUAACGACAAAAGUAGGCCAAAGAAUUUGUCAUUAUUAUGAGACUAGAGAGGUUUUACUGAGAAGUUUUCCGAGCGUGAUAUCAGCAUUCGCUGUAUCACAGUGAUACAACAAAUGGUUUGAACACAGUGAUCUAGAACCCAUUAGCUCAAAUUUCAUUGAUCUGAACACGAUGAUCCUCAUCCGCAGACCAUUUUAGGGAAUAAUUAAUUCUAGCGAUUUUUUAACUGCAUGUACGAAGAACUUCAUCAAAAUUCGAUUAAGUGUAUCUUAACCAAUCUUGAUCAGUAUGCGACUGAUGAUUCUAUUUGAUAAAAGUAAUGCGGUGGCCCAACUUUAUCUUAAUUUCUAUGUUGAAAGUAAUCAUUAUAUUAUUCUAUAAUUAUAAAUGUAGACUAUGGAAUCAAGAUAACUUUGAUAUGCUGAGAUCAAAAGAGGGCGGCCACUUUAGUAGUGGACUAUAUAUACUAAAUAAAGCUGAUCGAUUAUUACAUUGGAAAAUAACAUUGAACCUAUCAUGAAAGACAACCCUACUGGACCAUGCCCCGAGUACUAAAUGCUGAUAAAAAACAAGUACAUGUUCCAAAGGAAUUGAGUCCAUAUAUACACAUUAGUGCUCAAAGAGAAAAACUAUAUAUCCACCGCUUAACUACAGUGAUCCUUUGAGCAGAAGUUAGCCAUGUAUUUCCUUUUCCAAUACCUAAACAUCACCACGGUCGGAGUCUUUGCCACACUUUUCCUUUCCUACUGUCUAUUAUUAUGGAGGUCUAGAGCUGGUAACAAAAAAAUAGCACCUGAAGCUACUGCUGCAUUGUCACGACCCAAAUUCCGGGUGACCCAUAAUUUGGCCCGUGACCCCAGGUCAAAGGUUUGACCCUAAGGGUUACUCCUAUUCCACGUUGGCAGUCAACUAAAACACUCUGAAAUUUUUUUUUUUCUCACAUAUAAGUCUCACUAGGUUCUCACCAACUAACAAUAUUUCAACCCUUACUCAAACACAUUAAGAUUUAAUAAAUAUCAUUGCAUUCCAAAAUAAAAUUUCAUAAAAAUCCCCUUAAUCGAAUUAAGGUCUUAUUACAUUAUCCAUAAUUCACUUAUUACAAGAUCUCAAUACCACAAACAUAAUAAAAAAAUAAAACACAUUCCACUAAACCGCUCCAAGGGCAUCCUGAAGUCCUCCCUGUCCCACCUGUGGAUCCUCAGGAGUGAUAUCUGCAUCUAAAAAUAUAUAUAUAAAAAAAAAGGGUGAGCAUUUCCACAUUGCUCAGUAGGGUGCCUAACACCCAAAGGGUUAAUGGGGGAUUACUAUAUUUCAAUAACCCAAACACAACAGUUUACCAAUAUAAAUCAAGUCACACAAUUUAACAUAUAAUAUUAUACUCAAUCCCACAACAUCCAAUCAUUACAUAUUAAAUUACCACCUACAUCUAUAAGUUCUUCAUCUUUUUAUAAAGGAGCUAUAGAAAUGUUAAAAAGUCGAAAGAAGACAACAAAUAGUUCUCCAAACAACACAACUGAUUUAGAUAGAUAUCUUAAUAUUGAUUUAAUUUCAUUUGAAGAUGAUGAAGAUUUUGAUAUUUUAAUAUGGUGGAAAUCACAACAACACAAAUAUCUUGUGCUUUCUAUCAUUGCUCGUGAUGUACUAACAGUUCCUGUGAGUACAGUUGCAUCAGAAGUUGCUUUUAGUGCAGGUGGAAGAGUAGUUAGUGAUAAACGAUGCAGCUUAGCGCCGGAUUCUAUUGAAGCAAAUAUAUGUCUGAAAGACUGGGCAAUAGCAGAUAAAAGGAUAUUUGAUUCUAUUCAAGAAGAAAAUAUGCUUGUCGAUAUGGAAAAACUAAAAUCAUCAGAUCUUCAUGGAUUUGCGAUAGUUAGCCAUCACCGCUAAGAGAUAAUGAUUAAAAUAUUUUACUAAAUGUAUGUCAUAUUUUUAUUUUUAUUUUUGUGGUUGAAAAGUACAAAUGAUUGACAAAUAAGUAGGUGCCAACCUAGUUGAGAUGUAUUUAUUUUGUAGUGAUGUAAACUUUUUCCACAUUUUCAAAUGUAAUGUAUAUAUUCAAUGAAUAAAAUAGUUAGCAAUGAAUAUUUUUAUUAAUGUAGCAUUUUCUAUUUUUUGAAUAUAUUUUUAUAUAUAUAUAUAUAUAUUUUUAAGUGGCGGGCCUACGGGUGGGCCCACGGCCGGGCCGGGCUUAAAUUGGGGCCCAUCCAAAAAUGGGCUCGGGUCGGGCUUUAGCCUACUGGGCCGGGCCGCGAGCUUUUUGGAGACCCUUAAUUUUUAUAAAUUACAGAAAAGAAAGAAAGAAAAAAAAAAAGAGAAAUCUACAUAUAGCUGCAUUUGUGUUUGUCAUGGAAAAUGAAAAAUAUUGCUAGAGUUUAUAAUGUAAAACAAAAUGCAAAUGUGAAACGCAAAGCAUAUAAGCUAUUUUAGGGUAAAAUCCAUGAAUGACCAAAUGGCCCAAAAAAAAGAUCAAAUUGGAAAUACGAUCGGUCAACGGUUGAAUCGAUUGGUGCAAUCCAAUUUUCAAAACCAUGAAAAUUUUAAUAUAUGACUUAAGCAUGUAAGUUUGAUAUAACAACGAGUAAAAAAUAAAUUAUAGAAUCCCUUUAGAUGAAAAAAGAUUUUAAUAAUUAUAAAUUUUUAUGAGAUGGAUAUGAUUUAUUAAGAUAAUUUUAAAAAAUAAUAAAUAAAAUUUAAUAUUAAAUUUUAUUUAUAAGAAUAAAAUAUCUUAAGAUAAUUAUGAGGGUAGGUAGAGGAUGCUAUUUUUAUGAGAAGCAUAAUAUGAUGCGUUUUGCAUUAAAAAGUCAAAUUCAUCCACACAUGUCCAUGUCUAUGAAACACAUUACACCGAACAUUAUUUUCAAAUUCGGACAUUAUUUUCAAACCCAACCUACGUAAGGCAUGUUUUUUUUUUUUUUUUUCUUUUUAAUUAUUAAAUUAGUUGUAUUUUGGUUCAAAACUCACGUGGGAAGAAGACUAGAGGGGGAACAUUUUUGUUGCGAAGCUAUACGGAAUAAAAUUUAUUCAGAAGCCGGUCAAAACUCAAAUUUAUCUGCGGAACUUUUGUACUUAUCUUUUGACAAUUGGAAUGCUUCCCUACAAAUUAACUAAAUUAAUAGUCUCCUUGUUUUAUCAGAAGCGAAGGAAAAAGUAGGACUCAUGCAUCGUACAACACAAAUAGGCAGAUCUUUAGUCAUAGAUGGUGCAUGCCGUAAAGUAGCCGUCUUGAGCUUGGUAAGAAACCAAGCUAUUAAAACUUGACUUGAACUGUUCAUUCUCAAGGGGGUAAGUGCCAGCCAGGGUUCAAAUUUUAUGAUGCGGGCAUGCAAGACUUAUACCAAUCUGCCGUUCUAAUAAUAGAAUGUAGAAGACACCAAGCACCUCCUGCAUGCAUCUUGAGGCGGUGUAGACACGCAUCCCAAGGCGAAGUUGUUCUCUACGACCUAAGGAUCAAUUUAGUAAUUGUUUUAAAAAAUAGUUUUUUGAGGUCAAUUUUUGAAAAUUAUUUUUAAAAUUUUUAAAAUAAAAAUAUGUUAGAAAACCUAAAAUAUAACAUGUUUUUAAAUUUUUUAAAUAUAUUUUAAAAAUAAUUUUUAUAUAUUUUUAAUUCUUAUAUUUAUAUAAUUAUUUUUUAAAACAACGGUUAGAAAACAAGUAAAAACAAAUAAAUUUUUUUUAAAAAAAAACAUUCUAUUUUAUGUUAUUAAUAACUUUUAAUUAUCAAAAGUUUUAUUUUAUAUUUUUUGUUUUAAAGAACAAAAAGCCUGCUCAAAAAAACAGUUGCCAUAACUUUUUUCUGAUCUGUAGUGAUCCUAGGAAGGCUGUUUUCUAAAUAUAGUAAUAUAAUAAAAAAAUGUGGUCAUAGUAAGAAAAUACCGUUUGGACAUGUCCAUGGUAUUAUGCAUAUGCUUGAACAGGGAAGCUACCCACAGUUUAACCACAGUAAUCCAAUAGCAACAUCUAAGCUACCAUGGAUUUCCUUCUCCAAUGCCUAAACCCUGCCAUGGUUGGAGCAUUUGCAAUACUUGUCCUCUCCUACUACCUGUUAUUAUGGCGGUCUGGAGCUGGUAAGGGCAGAAUGGCACCUGAAGCUGCUGGUGCAUGGCCCAUAAUAGGUCACCUACACCUCCUAGGUGGGUCUAAGAAUUUGCCCCACUUACUUUUGGGAACCAUGGCCGACAAGUAUGGAGCAGUAUUCAGCGUUCGGCUGGGAUUGGAAAGAGCUGUGGUGGUGAGUAGUUGGCAGAUGGCCAAGGAAUGCUUCACCACCCAUGACCUGGCUCUGGCCUCCCGUCCUCAACUUGUAAUCUCCAAACAAUUGGGAUAUAACGAUGCCAUGUUUGCUUUCUCUCCUCACGGUGCAUACUGGCGGGAAGUGCGAAAGAUAGCCACUCUAGAGCUCCUCUCGAACCGCCGGCUAGAGUUGCUGAAGAACGUCCGAAUCUCAGAGGUGGAGACAUGCAUGAAGGAACUAUACAAGCUUUGGGCUGAGAAGAAAAACGAGGCAGGCGUUGUUUUGGUGGACAUGAAGCAAUGGUUUGGGGACUUGACUCUGAACGUGAUUCUUAUGAUGGUUGCUGGAAAACGAUAUUUCGGUUAUACAGCCGAAAGUCAAGAGAAAGAGACCCAGCGGUGCCAGAAAUCGAUUAGGGAAUUCUUUCGUUUGUUGGGUCUCUUUGUGGUGUCGGAUGCCCUUCCUUUUCUUGGCUGGCUUGACGUGGGUGGACAUCUGAAAGCCACGAAGAAGACUGCAAAAGAAAUGGAUGGUAUUGCUCAGGAAUGGUUAGAGGAACACCGACAGCGAAAAGAUUCGGGUGAAGCUAAUGGUAACCAGGACUUAAUGGACGUGAUGCUGUCCAUUCUGGCUGGCACGGACCCUACCGGCUAUGAUGCCGAUACAAUCAACAAAGCCACAUCCCUGGUAUGCACAUUAUUCCUCGAGCACCUUUAUAUGCUACUAAAAAAAAUGACAUUCUUCUCAAGACAUAAUUUCAUGCUUUAUCCUCUUUAGUCGGGACUCUCAGACUCUCGAGAGUACUCACACCUUCAAUGGAAUAACUUUCUGUUGCUGGUUGAAGCUAGUCAAAGUCAAUACUUUUUAAAAGAUAAUAUUAGAUUUAUAAAAGUUUUAUCAAUUAUGAAAGAAUUUUUUGCAUCAGCGCAAAUAGAAUUUUUUUACUUAAAAAUAAAACGUUUUUGAUUUCAUAUUGUGUUUUAUUAUACGUUGUUAUUUGUCAAAAGAGUAACAUGAGAAGCUUCGACAAGCAAUUAUAAUGAAAUACAACCCACCUGAGAAUCUGAGCGUAACUAGAAUUAUGACGAACCUCUGGCUUGGGUGUUUGGGCUGGGCUGGUAAUGAUCCAACUCUCCUCUGGGUGGCUGGCCCAUUCUUGUCAGAAGAUCAUGAAAGUGUGUUCAUUAUUCCUCAUGCUUUGAGGCCUCAUUGACUGGGCUUCUUGAUCUUGAGUUGGUUAGACAAUUACGCCUUUCAAAGACUCCUCGUCAUAAUAAAUACAGGGGCUUUCCCUCGUAAAUUUAAGGAUUUUUAUAUUUUAUAUUUUAUUUUAAUUUUGAAGGCCAACAUGAACUUUUAUAAAAUGCUAAAUUUAUGAGCGAGUUUCAAAUUCAAGCUACUUUUGAUCGACGGACACUAAACUCUAACUCUAGAAGCAGACUCCUAUUGGUUUCUAAGGGGCACUCACUCUUGAAAAUAAAUAAAUAAAUAAAUUGAAGCCUUUUCCUCCUUAAUCCUGUUAGUAGUUAUAAUUUUAUUAACAUUAGUUAAUGUUUUGUACUUGACAGAUUUUGAUUGCAGGAGGCAGUGACACUACAUCUGUUACUCUAACAUGGGCGAUCUCACUUUUAUUGAAUAAUCCAUGUAUGUUAAGAAAAGCCCAAGAAGAAUUGGACACUCAUGUUGGUAAAGGGAGAUUGGUAAAUGAAGUGGAUUUAAGCAAGUUGGUCUACCUCCAAGCAAUUGUUAAAGAGACAUUGAGGUUAUAUCCCGCAUUUCCACUUUCAGGACCACGCCAAUUUAACCAAGAUUCCAUUUUAGGUGGUUACCGUAUCCCAAAAGGCACUCGUCUUGUGUUGAACCUCACUAAGAUCCAAAGAGACCCAAGUAUAUGGUUGAACCCAACAGAGUUUCAACCAGAAAGAUUCCUCACUACUCACAAAGACAUUGAUAUGAGGGUCAAAAAUUUUGAGUUUACACCAUUUGGUGGUGGAAGAAGAAUUUGCCCUGGUGCAACUUUUGCCCUUCAAGUGCUACACUUAACAUUAGCCAAUUUCUUGCACAAAUUUCAACUUUCGACUCCAUCAGAUGCAACAGUUGAUAUGAGCGAGAGCCUUGGGAUAACAAACAUCAAAUCCACUCCACUUGAAGUUCUCAUCUCGCCACGUUUGUCUUCUUGUGAUCUUUAUGAGUAAAACCAAUGAAUGUUGAGAGAGACUAUUUCAAGAAACCUAGUAUUAUAUAUAGGAAAUAAAAAUACAAAUAAAAUUUGUACAUGUGGUACAAGUUUAAAAUAAUAACUAAUGAGUACUAUACUUUUUUAAUUUUAUCUUAGCUUGAAUUUUGGUGUUUUUUUUUUCUCCUUGUAGAAGAAAAAGUGGCAUAUAGCAUUUUUCUUUCGGUAUAGAUAGUGAAAAAUAAGUAUGCACUUGACCAUAUGCAUACGUGUGCAAUAGACUUAAUGAGUUGCAAGUUGAUAAUUGAUCUGUCUUUUGGUAGAUUUUAGUUGCCUUCUUGUACAUCAUUAAAGUAGAAGAUAAAGACGAAAAUUAUAACUUCACCCAUUCAAUUAAAAAUCAAUUUAAUUGAAUUUAAAGAAGAAAAUGGUUGGUUCGGUUUGACUAACAAUAAUUGAUUCGUCGGUUUAUUUUGUUUCAAUUUGUUUUGGUUUGUUGUAACAAUAAAAAUCAUUUUUUUUGGUUAAUUUGGACUAAAAAAAAAAAACCAUGAUUAGAUAAAAACUAUAAAUGUGCAUAUGAAGUUGUAUCGAAUGUGAAAGCUUUUCAUCAAAUUAAUAAUAUAACCAAUACUCAUAUUAUUGAUGUAAAUAUAGAACUUCUAGAUAAGUUCAAUUUGUUUUACUAUUGAUUUUUUAAAUAGGUAACCGAAUUGGUCUAAUUCAAUUUUAUAUUUUAAAACCCAAUAUUAUUAAAAGAAAAAUUGCUAAAAAUUAGUGGAUUAGGGUUAGUUCAUUGAUUCUGUCUACACCCCAAAAAGAAGAGUGUCCACUUCGUAUUGUCAACUUUGUGUGCUUAUAAGUUACAAUUUUGCACCAUGAGAUUCACAUUUGUACUUAUUAUUGCUAAUUUUGUGUGGUCAUAAGUUAUAAUUUUACCCCACUAGAUUCACAUUUGCUAGCAUCAUAAUUGACUUUCUACAUCCAUGCAUUCAUGAAUCAUUACAUUUCAAUACUGUAUUACCAUUUUGGUGCUAAACAAGAAGACUCGUCUUUAAAGUACUCAAGCAAACCCUCACCAAUUUUAAUCAUUUUUCAAUUUAGAUGAAUGGGAGCAACAACACUAGAACAAUGAAGUAGAUGAUGAAAUAAAAUAAAAAACAAAGAUAGUAUACAAACUCUAAUUUUAUUGGUUUGUCAUAGUCUUGACUUAUAUGCACUCUCCUCAAACUUUAAAAUUCUGCUAACUUCUAAUCCUUCAAGCCAAUCUUAAACUCUUACAUUUUGAUUCUUGAUUCCAAAAGACCUUCUUACACUUGCCUCAAUAGAUUCUUUACUUUUGAAUACACUAGUCACAAGUUGUUAACAAUUGAACAAAAUUAAUCUUUCUAAAUCUUAAUUAGUACAAGUUUAAACUUGAGAAAAUACAAGAGGAAAUUAGGAUGUUUUGUCUUAGAUAAGAUUUAUAAGUUAAUCAAGAAUUUUACAUUGAGAACAAAGAGUUAAGAUCAAUUCAGUUAAGUGAGAUUGUAGGAUCUAAUUAGUUUGAGAUCUUAAGCGGUCCUGUUAUAAUCUUAUUAUUUUAUUCCAAAAUUGCCUAAGAGGGAAGUAGUAAUUUAGGACAACAAUUCCCUCCCAAAGUUUAUUGGUUUGAAACUAAUACUUUAUUAUACCAGCAUGUUUGAGUUGAAAACACAAAAAUUGAAGCUAAGGCAAGUACUUUACAAUUCGGAUUGGGUUGCAUCGAGCUUUGGUGGUAACUACUUGGGAGAUGGCUAAAGAAUGCUUGACCGCCAAUGACCAGGUUUCAUCCUCGCGUCCCGAACUUUUAGCCGCAAAACAUUUGGGCUACAACUACGCCAUGUUUGGUUUCUCUCCAUACGGUUCUUACUGGCGUGAAGUGCGCAAGAUAAUCAGCCUAGAGUUACUCUCUAACCGCUGCCUAGAGCUGCUGAAGGACGUCUGUGCUUCAGAAGUGGUGACAUCCAUAAAAGAGCUAUACAAGCUCUAGGCAGAGAAAAAAAAUGAAUCGGGCCUUGUCUCGGUGGAAAUGAAGUAGUGGUUUGGAGAUUUGACUCUGAACGUAAUUCUUAGGAUGGUGGCAGGGAAGCGUUAUUUCAGUGCUUCAGAUGCAAGUGAAAAUAAACAGGCGCAGAGGUGCUGGAGAGUGUUCAGGGAAUUUUUUCAUUUGGUAGGGCUCUUUGCGGUGGCGGACGCUAUUCCUUUUCUUGGAUGGCUCAACUGGGGGAGACAUGAGAAUACCCUAAAGAAGACAACAAUAGAAAUGGACAAUAUUGCUCAAGAAUGGUUAGAGGAGCACCGUUGGAAAUCAUGAUAAUAGUACGCAAGACUUCAUGGAUGUGAUGCUGUUAGUUCUUGAUGGCAAAAAUCUUGGUGAGUACGAAAGCCACAUGCUUGUGUGGACCCGCAUUUUUCACGUGCACCUCCACUCAAUCGGCGAGACUCGUUUUUUUUUGGUGAAGAUGUUGUUUUUGGAAAAGUCGGAGUCGCCACUUAUUUUAUUUUAUUUUAAAGGGAAAAUAAAACAAGAAAUAAAACCCUAAAAAAUGACUCCAUAGUUUUUUGGAAAAGCAUGUCUUUGAAAAACCCGAGUCUAGGUCCGGGGAUCAGGUUACUUAUUGGGAAGGUACCUCCAGGAGAUAGCACCUCUCUAAGCCCUACAAAGGUCCCUACUGACUAUGUUGAAGGAAAUGUGGCAAUCAACUGAUUAAUUGAGGGUACCUAGGUAGGCUAAGGUGAUCUCAAAACUAGCAUGCUAAACAAGAAAAACCAAUCACGCCCAUAAAGGAAAGUUAGGAUGCGUACCUGGACCACUUCUUAAGCGCUAUCAUAAAACAUCAAUGGUUAGUUUAGAUAAUAUAUCACUCAGUAUGUGUUUUAUCAUGAAUGAUCAAACAAUGUAGCAAAUAUCAAGACAUCCCAAGCAUUCUCAAACAUAGGUAUAAAUCAUAAUGACGAUCAUAUUUACAAAAUUUGGAAGGUAGGUGACAGGAGACGUACCUGGAUAGCAUAGAUAACUUGUAACGUGCUUUCACAAGACAUGAGAGGUUAGAUAACAAACAAUAAAAUAAGAAGUCCUAGCAUGUUUGUUAUCUAAUUAGCAUAGAAAAAAAAAAUUAUCAUAGUAUAUGAAACCAUCAAUUAUCACUUAUAUCUUCUGUAUAAUUUCUAAAAAAUAAAUAGACAUGAUUUCCUUAAAUAGCAAAGGGGGCAACAAAGAUGAGUUUUGAAAAUUUUCCUUAUGUAGGGGCUUCACCAAUUCCCCGAUUGAUAUACACAAAUCUAGUUUAGAAUUAUCCCAUUUGUUUGGGACCACAAGCUUGGAUUCAUGUCUUACUCAAAACUGUAAUUUUAUUUGAAAUUUAAGAAAGAUGCAAACAGAUCAAAACAUGGUUGCACAUUAUUUGAGAAAAUGAGAUUUCGAUUCUAAGAACUCUAAAUGAAUUUUUGAAAUGGAUUCCUAAAGGGAAUGAGAUUUUGAUUCUAAGAACUUUAAAUGAAUUUUUGAAAUGGAUUUUUAAAGGGAUUUUUUUUAGAAUAGUGUUAUGUUUUAAAAAUAAAAGAAAUUAAUUUCAAAACAAUAAAACGUAUGAAUCAAAUACCAAGCAAAACAAAAGAGAACAAAAUCACAAAGUAGAAUUUUUGACAACCAAGAAAAUUGAAGUGGUGAGAAUGGAAGCCAAUCUUCACUAUUUUUCGAUGGUCUCCAAAAAGUAAAUUUUACUAGAGACUACCAAAGCAAUAAACUAUUCAAACUUGGAUCAAAUAAGCUAACGAAAUACCCACCAAGAAUUAAUGACGAAAAUUCAAGAAACACAUCUACUAAGAAUAACAAUCAAGAAUUAGCAUGAGAUCAAUUAAACACACAAACGCAUCUAGAUUAACUAAAAUGAACCAAAUUAAAUCAAAGCAAACAAUAAUUUUCAAACAUAGAAUUAACUUUAUUAAUGAACUAAUAUUAUAUAAAAUACCUAAAUCGAAUAGAUGUGCAAAACUAAAUCAAAGUAAACUAAAGGCAUGAAUUCUCAAAAAUAGAAUUGAUUUUAUUAAUGACCUAAAAUUAUACAAACUCCUAAAAUAAUUAAAAUGAAUCAAUUUAAACGAAAGGAAACUAAAACAAAAUAUGAAUUCAGGGAAUCUAAUUUCGAAAUAAACUUACAUUAUUAAAAUGAAAUCUAGGCUUAAAAACUAUUAAACACUAAUUAAAGCCAAUCUAAACUUAAAUUCUUAACACACAUGAUCAAUUAUUUUAACAAACUAACAUUUUACCUUAACCACAAAUUAAAUUAAAAAACUACUUGAGACUAAAUUUCUAACCUAUAAAAUUAAACUCAUAAUCAAAUGGAUAAGUUGAUGACACAGACAAAUAAAUAUGAAUAAAAUAAAAUAUGAAUGAAAUGAAAUACGAACACAAGGAAUUAAAUAAUUUUUUCUUUUUUUUAAUAAACUUAUGUUAGUAAAAUAAAUUUGAGCUUAACAAACAUUUUUAUCACUAAUUAAGGCAAGUUUAAAAUAUAAUACUUAACACAUAAAAAAUCAAUCAUUUCAACAAACUAUAAUUUUAACUAAACUUAAAGUCAAUUCAAACAACCUUCAAUAGAUUUUUUUAUUUUUAUUUUAAACUGAAUUUUUAACCCAUAGAUUCAAUCUCAUUGAUAAAUAAAUAAAUAAAUAAGUUACAAAGCAUUAGCUUAGUAGCAAAUAAAUAAAUAAACAACUAAUAAUUAAAUGAAUCACAACUAAACUAAAUAAAGAUCAAACUAUAUUAUUUUUUUUAUUUUUCAAAAGUAGAAUUACAUGAAUUUGUAUUUUUUGAAUUUAAUAUAAUAUACCAAACUAAACUUAAACACAAUUCUCAUUCUGCCAUAUUAAAACAAAAAAUGCAUGGAGUUAGUAAAUAAAGUCAAAUGACACAAUAUAAUAAUAAUUCCACUAAAAAACCAAUCAAACUAAUUAAAAUUCUAAAAAAUAUCAACUAAAACAAGAUCAAUCAAAAUUAGCGUGUAUAUAUAUAUAUAUAUAUAUAUAUAUAUAUAUAUAUAUAUAUAUAUAUAUAUAUAUAUCUUUAUUUUUAGUUAUUUAUUUAUUAAAACACGAAUACAUCAACACGAAACGAAAUAAACUAACCAACUUACAUUCUAAAACUAAAAGGAUAAAUCAUGAAUUAAAAUUAACAACCUUUGGAUAUGAAAAGAGUGGCAUGGAAUCAAUUGAAAUAAUAAACUAAAAUUUAAUAACAUCUAAACUAAAAGAUAAAUUAAAACUAAAUUAAAUGAAAUUAUGAACUUCCUAAUUGAGAAAAAAAAUAAUAAUAGUAAUAAAUCUAAUCAAAAUUCUAAAUUUUAAACCAUCAUCAUGAAUUGCCCAAACUCUUAAAAAAUCCUAACCUUUCCAUUAUCAACAAAAAUUGCCUAAACCAAUAUUUAAAAAAUCUAAUUUGUCAAACUAAGAAUAAUAAAUUGUAACUACAUUAAACAAAAAUCAUAAUCUUCAAGCUAGAAUAAUGAAUCAAUAAUAAUUAAUUUAUUUAGAUAAGAAAAAUUAAAAAAAUAAAUUAAAGAUUAACAUCUAAGCUAAACAUGAAUUUACAAUAAAAAUUUAAAAUACAAAGAUUGAAUGGGAAUAAUUUUAAAACUAAUAAAUUGUCAUCAGGAAAUAUAUUGAUAUUAGAAAUAAUUAAACUAUAUAGAUAAAACUCUAAAACGAUUAUGCAUUGAAUUGAAUAUUUCUUGAAUCAAAAUUGAAAUAGGAAGGAUAAAUUCACAUUUUCCGAAACGUGUAGGUCACUUUCCACUAGUAGGAUUUCUAUUUUUUAUUUUAUUUUAAAAGAAUCAUUGCCAAGGAUGCAUGGUGUGGUGGCUGCCCAUGCACUGUAGCUGAAGACUUCUUCUUGGUGGUCUUUGAAACCUAGGAGCAUGGCUGAAUGUUUCCUUUCUUCCAAUAGUGCAACUGCUCCGGAAGUCCUCUCAACGGUGCGGCUGAUUCAGAAAUCGUCAUCUCAAUGGUGCGGCUGUUUCGGAAAUCUUCCUCUCAAUGGUGCGGCUACACCCUCUCACAUUCCAGAAAAUAAUCUUACUCCUCCCACCUGGAUCCCCUUUAGUGCGGCUGUUGAUCUCCUUCCCGUUUGGUGUCACCCUCUCUUCUGAUGCAUGCUGAAAGCGUCCCAAGAAUGGUGCAGCUGGUCGUUCUUGCUUCUCCAAAGGCGUCAGACCCUCUUAUGCGUGCUGAAAGCGUCCUAAGUAUGGUGCGGCUGGUCGUUCACCCCUCUCCAAAAAAAACUCUCCCCCCUCUCACUUUCUAACCUUCCUCUCCAGUACUCUGCCAACAUGGGAAGACAACUCACCAGCCCGGAGAGCCUCAAUCAUCCACGUCAGUCUAGCAUCAUCAGGACUCUCCUUCCUGAACAUAGUCUUCAUUCCGUCCAAAUACCCAUUGAACAUUUCCUUUUUCCAUGCCAAAAGAACUUUGGUAAUUUUCUUUCUUCAUUCAUUUCCUUCCAUUAGAAGCACAAUCAACACAUGCAUGGGUGCAUACUUGCUUUCCUUCUUAGUUCAUUUUCUUCCAUACGUCCUGUCCUCUUCCAACCACCUUGAAUCCAUCCUUUAACCCGCUGAAUAUUUCCUUUCCAUAAUCACACAUGAAAAUUCCUCUUUUUAAUUUUUUUUUUUGACUGAAUAUCCUCUAUUUCCUGAAAGACUCACACAUGAAUAUCCUUGCCAAUACACGUUUUCAACCUUCCUUUUUCUCUCCAGUGAUGAUUCCUUUGGUGAGUUUCUCUACAAAAAUAUAAAGAAAAUUAGACUUAAUGAAUGAAUCCCAAGGUGUUUUAGAAAAUUAUAAAAUAAAUUAACAAAAUAAUUAAGUAAAUAAUGAUAAUAAUAAUAAUAAUAAUAAUAAUAAUAAUAGUAAAGUGUCAUGCAAUCUAUGCAACCAUGCAAUCAUGUGAGCAACUCAAGUCAUGCAAAGAAUGUCUAAUGGGCCUCGGGUGUAUCUAAUGGACCUAAAGGGUCUAAGUGGACCAAUGAUGGUGCCUAAUGGGCCUAAGUGGGCCUAGGGUGGUGCCUAAUGGACCUAAAGGGUCUAAGUGGGCUUAGGGUGGUGCCCAAGUGUAUCUAAGUGAACCUAAAGUGCUUAAGUGGAUCUAAGUGAACCUAAAGUGUUUAAGUGGAUCUAAGUGAACCUAAAGUGCCUAAAUGGGCCUAAGUCUAAAUUAGGGCUACUAAGAGUCACAAUAGGGUUAAAUGAAUCCCUCUACCAAAGUCUCCGAGGUGGCUCAAAAAAGGUAAGUAGUAUGAGUAGCUAUGGGCCACUAAGGAACUACUGUGGAGCACUGGAAGUGAACUUAAAGACAUGUGCUAAAGGAACAAAAUUGAGGGUCUACAACCUGGUAUGAGUAUUAAUGGAACACCCACGUAACAUUGAUAAAGACAAAUUGCAAGGAUAAGGCAAUGAUCGAACAAAUAACCUAUGAUUAAACAAGAUCAUUCAAAAUCAAUUUUGUAUAUUUUUGUAACCGUUAUUUGAUGUGUUGACUUGAACAAUUCUGUAACUGUUGUAUAGUUGUAGGCAAAUUGAUGUACAUUGCCGCAAAUAGUUUUUCUUAGCUAUGCAUAUAAGUAAACUCUUAUUACAUCAAUAAAAGUGUGAAAAUUUUCAUUGAAAACAACAAUGUUAUUUCUUCUAUACUAUUUAUAUUUGCAUAGGGCUAGCUUCUUUUCCAUAGUUUUUCUUUUGUUUAUAUGUUUUAAUUGAUGCAUAUUCACUUUCUUAUUCUCUUAAUUAAAUUGCAAUAAUUAAAACUCUAAUUUAAAUAAAUUUUAAAAUUUAUUUUUAACUAAAAACAACAAUAUACAUAUACAAAUAUAUACUGCUUAAGUAAUUAAUUUUUUUAAAAAAUAUCCUUUGAGAACAUCUCAGACAAACUAAGACAUGCUUCUAGGGAAAUCUAAAUAUAAUGUUUUUAAAAGCUACCUUGUAAUUUUAUUUUCGAGCAUGUUGCAUUAUAUAUACUUUCCUUGAAUUGAUUUUCCAAAUUUUAUUUUUGUCAACAAUAAGGGUUAUCUACGUUUUGGAAGAUAUCUUUAAUUUCCCCUCCAAAGAAUAAGUGAUCUUGAAACUUAUAAGUUAAUUAUGUUCACUUGAUCGAAUAAGAGAUUUGAACAAUCUUGUAAAAAGAUGUUAAGCAGAUGGUUGAUUUCGAAAUUAUCCUUUAAACUAUAAAGGGAAAUAGAAAAAAAUACUAUUAUUUUGGUACAAGACCAUAUUGUUUAGUAGUGUCUCUAGGGAGUUCCAUUAGAUGCUAUCAAACAAUUAAUUUGGUGUCUCACUAACGUAAUUUUGAGUUGUUGAAUUUUGGGUUUUGCAAACUCUAAUUGCUGGAGGUAGUGACACAACUGUUGUCUCUCUAACCUGGGUAUUCUCUCUUUUACUCAACAACCGCGACACCUAAAAAAAAGCUAAAAAAAAAAAAUAUUCAAGUUGGCAAGGAAAGAUUAGUGAAUGAACAAGAUAUAAGUAAGUUGGUCUAUCUUCAAGCCAUUCUUAAAGAAAUUGAGAAAAUAAAGGCUAAUCUUAAAAGAUAAAAACACCCAAGAGGGGGGUGAAUUGAGUUUUUAAAAAUUAUUUUUAAACACAACAAAUUUAAGCAUAAGAGAAUCAAAUAUAAAAAGAUAAGGUUAGAGAAAUCAAACUCAGAUUUUAUAAUGGUUCAACACUUCCUUACCUACAUCCACUCUCCUCAAGCUCUUAACCGAGUGAGGGUUCCACUAACAUGAAGUUUCAACCAAACUUCUAAUUACAUUUACACUUAGAUUCCGGCUCCAAUGGGCUCUUACACAAUCUCUUCAAGUUUCAACUCACUUAAAGACUUUAACACUAAGUUAACAAGUAUGAAUCUCUCAACUUAGCUCAACAAUGACUCAAAUACAACCCAAAGCUAGGAUGAAUCACAAAGGUGCACUAAAGGAUAUGUAAAUGGAGAUUUAAUGCACCAAGAAAAGAAAUGAGAGCUUUUAAGGCAAGAACAAAUAGGUAAGCAAAUAAAUGCAUGUGUUCUCUUACUCAUAAAUGAAGUGGAACUCUUUAUUUAUAGGUUUUUAACAUUAUAAGCCAAAAAACCAAAAAAACAGUCUCAAUCGGUUGAGCUGAGGGUCAAUCGGUUCACUAGCCAUUGCAGCAUUUAAUGCUUGUCAGGUGACAGUUACCCUCGACCGGGAAGACAAAUCCCUCGACUGGGAAGGAAAGGCUACUGAAAAAGAGAGAGUCUUUUUUGCACCUCUCGGUCGGACCUCAACAGGAAAGGGGGAGCCGGUCGACCGGUACCCUAGUCAAUUGAGCCUGUUUGGACAUAGCCUUGAUCGGUUCACAAUUUUUUACCCGAAAACCUAUCUUUUUCUAGUAUUUUUGCUUCAAACACAUAGGUAAGGUCUUCAGAUAAAAUAUAUGCCAAUUUUGAAACGUUUAGCUUAAGGUUCAUUUGAUAGAUCUCGGAUUUUGGUGAAAAUGUAACUUUAAAGCAUAAAUCGAGUUUUUCAAAGAUGCAUGAAAUAAUAUGUAAAUCCUAAGUGUAUCAAUGCAUUCAUCUUACAUAUGUUUCCUAUCAUUAAAGGUCUUUCCAAAAGUCUUGAUCUUGCAUCCAUUAGGUCAUUUGAUGAAUUUCCAAAUUAACACCUGAAAUUUUUUAUAAUUUAAACCAAUUAGUAACUUAACUAUGAUUUGUUAUCAUCAAAACAUGAUUAGGAGAACCCUUGGGCUAACAGAGACAUUACGGUUAUAUCCACCAAGACCACUUGGAGGACUAUGCCAAUUUAUUGAGGAUUGCACCUUGGGUGGAUACCAUGUCUUUAAAGACACUUGUUUAAUAAUGAACCUUUCGAAGAUCCAAAAUAUCCAAGAAUCUAGUUAGAUUCGAUAGAAUUCUAACCAGAGAGGUUUCUCAUCAACCAUAAGAAUGUUGAUCCUUAGGGAAAACAUUUUGAAUUUAUACCAUUUGGAGCUGGUCAAAGAGCAUGUCUAGGAAUAGCUUUUGGUCUUCAAAUAUUAUAUUUAGCAUUAGCUAGUUUCUUACAUGCAUUUGACUUUUCAACUCCAUCAAAUGAACAUGUUGAUAUGCGAGAGAGCUUUGGACUUACAAAUAUGAAAUCUAUCCCACUCGAAGUUUUCAUUUCUCAAAUCUACCCCACUUGAAAUCCUCAUUUCUCUACACUUAUCUUCUUGUAGUCUUUACAACUAAAACAUUGAAAUGAAGAGGUCAAAGUUGACCCAGCUAGUCUUGGUUUAAAGACAUAUAGAGUUAGGUUCAAUCAAUCUAUGAUAAGAUUUGAGAUUUGUAUUAAAAGUAGGUUGGACUAAGAAUGAUGUACAAUAAACUAAAGUACUAUCCAUGCAAAUAAAGUAUAACAUUAUAUAUUAUUUGGUUAGCAUUCUGAAAUGUAACAUCAUAAUUAUUUCUUUGUUUUGUCUAAUUUAUCGCCAUUUCACCCCCUCAUCUUCAUCAAAACAAAUAAUAUAUAGUCUUUCUAUUUUUAAAAAUCAAAUUCGAUUCCCAAUUAUAUAAGAAUUUUACUAUUACUUUAUAAUAAACUUUACUUUAGUCUUAAUAACUUUGACUUGUAAAUAUGUUCUCCAUCCUUAAUUAAAUAUACAGAUAAUUUCAUUCAUUUUUUCUAAGAUUGGAGUUAAAUUUACCCAUCCAUACUUAACUUGAAAUUUUCUUAAAUAUCUGUUUUUUUUUCAUUUUUUUUACACGUAUAUCUUUUAAUUUAAAAUAAAAAAUAUUUAAUAAAAUUUCAAAAUAAUAGUUGUCAGACAUAUUUAUGUGACAUUUUCGAAGAGGUGAAUGAAACUAAACUUUUCUUUAAAUAUAAAAUCAUAAAAAUUUAAUAUAUGCAAGCAUGAUCCGGUCUAAAUAUGAUAUAUAAUUUGUGUCAUUUCAAAAAAUCACAGAAGAUCCUUUUGGCAAAGUGGCCCCCCAUUUGAGUUGUAUUCCGUAAUUGGUCACCACAUGUUAUAUCAUUUCAAAGAUUAUGGAGGAUCAUGUUGCCAAUCAUUAUCAGAAGAAGUACAGCUUCCUCUAUAAAACUAAUCAAUACGAUAUUUAGCACAUGCAAACAAAUUUGGAAGGAUCUGAAAGUCAAGUCUACGGGCCACCCCUUUACGACUUGUUCGAAAAAGCACAAAUCAAUGGUGGUGCCACUUGCCAGCAGUCUGUUUCAAUAUCUAAAUGUUACCUCGGUAAGAUUGCUUGACAUACUUUUUGUCUCCUACUAUCUCAUGGAGAUCCAGAGUUGGUAAGAUAAGAAUAGCAUCCGAAGCUGCUGGUGCAUGGCCAAUAAUCGGUCACCUCCUCUUAGGUGGGUCACAACUUCCUGGGAUUUUUUAUAAAAUUACGGUAGAUUUAAAAUUAAUUUUUUUAAAAUGCAGCAUAUUAAUGCUUGACAGCUGACAGUUACCCUCGAUCGGAAAGACAAAUCCCUCGACUGGGAAGGAAAGGCUACUGAAAAAGAGAGAGUGUUUUUUGCACCUCUCGGUCGGACAUCAACAGGGAAGGGGGAACCGGUCGAUCGGUACCCUAGUCAGUUGAGCCUGUUUGGACAGAACCUUGACCGGUUCACAAUUUUUUACCCGAAAACCUUUUUUUUUUUUGGUCUUUUUGCUUCAAACACUUAGACAAUGUCUUCAGAUAAAAUUAUAUACCAAUUUUGAAACGUUUUGCCUAAGGUUCAUUUCAUAGAUCUCGGAUUUUGAUGAAAAUGUAACUUUAAAGCAUAAAUCGAGUUUUUCAAAGAUGCAUGAAAUAAUAUGUAAAUCCUAAGUGCAUCAAUGCAUUUAUCUUACAUAUGUUUCCUAUCAUUAAAGGUCUUUCCAAAAGUCUUGAUCUUGCAUCCAUUAGGUCAUUUGAUGAAUUUCCAAAUUAACACCUGAAAUUUUUUAUAAUUUAAACCAAUUAGUAACUUAACUAUGGUUUGUUAUCAUCAAAACAUGAUUAGGAGAACCCUUGGGCUAACAGAGACAUUACGGUUAUAUCCACCAGGACCACUUGGAGGACUAUGCCAAUUUAUUGAGGAUUGCACCUUGGGUGGAUACCAUGUCUCUAAAGGCACCCGUUUAAUAAUGAACCUUUCGAAGAUCCAAAAGGAUCCAAGAAUCUAGUUAGAUUCGAUAGAAUUCCAACCAGAGAGGUUUCUCAUCAACCAUAAGAAUGUUGAUCCUUAGGGAAAACAUUUUGAAUUUAUACCAUUUGGAGCUGGUCAAAGAGCAUGUCCAGGAAUAGCUUUUGCUCUUCAAAUAUUAUAUUUAACAUUAGCUAGUUUCUUACAUGCAUUUGACUUUUCAACUCCAUCAAAUGAACAGGUUGAUAUGCGAGAGAGCCUUGAACUUAUAAAUAUGAAAUCUAUCCCACUUGAAGUUUUCAUUUCUCAAAUCUACCCCACUUGAAAUCCUCAUUUCUCUACACUUAUCUUCUUGUAGUCUUUACAACUAAAGCAUUGAAAUGAAGAGGUCAAAGUUGACCUAGCUAAUCUUGGUUUAAAGACAUAUGGAGUUAGGUUCAAUCAAUCUAUAAUAAGAUUUGGGAUUUGUAUUAAAAGUAGGUUGGACUAAGAAUGAUGUACAAUAAACUAAAGUACUAUCCAUGCAAAUAAAGUAUAACAUUAUAUAUUAUUUGGUUAGCCUUUUGGAAUGUAACAUCAUAAUUAUUUCUUUGUUUUGUCUAAUUUAUCGCCAUUUUUUCCCUUUCUCUUAUUCCCUCAUCUUCAUCAAAACAAAUAAUAUGUAGUUUUUCUAUUUUUAAAAAUCAAAUUCGAUUCCCAAUUAUAUAAGAAUUUUACUAUUACUUUAUAAUAAACUUUACUUUAGUCUUAAUAACUUUGACCUGUAAAUAUGUUCUCCAUCCUUAAUUAAAUAUACGGAUAAUUUCAUUCAUUUUUUCUAAGAUUGAAGUUAAAUUUACCCAUCCAUACUUAACUUGAAAUUUUCUUAAAUAUCUAUUUUUUUUCCUUUUUUUUACACAUAUAUCUUUUAAUUUAAAAUAAAAAAUAUUUAAUAAAAUUUCAAAAUAAUAGUUGUCAGAUAUAUUUAUGUGAAAUUUUCGAUGAGGUGGAUGAAACUAAACUUUUCUUUAAAUAUAAAAUCAUAAAAAUUUAAUAUAUGCAAGCAUGAUCCGGUCUAAAUAUGAUAUAUAAUUUGUGUCAUUUCAAAAAAUCAUAGAAGAUCCUUUUGGCAAAGUGGCCCCACCUUUGAGUUGUAUUCUGUAAUUGGUCACCACAUAUUAUAUAAUUUCAACGAUUAUGGAGGAUCAUGUUGCCAAUCAUUAUCAGAAGAAGUGCAGCUUCCUCUAUAAAACUAAUCAUAUUUAGCACACGCAAACAAAUUUGGAAGGAUCUGAAAGUCAAGUCUACGGGCCACCCCUUUACGGCUUGUUCGAAAAAGCACAAAUCGAUGGUGGUGCCACUUGCCAGCAGUCUGUUUCAAUAUCUAAAUGUUACCUCGGUGAGACUGCUUGACAUACUUUUUGUCUCCUACUAUCUCAUGGAGAUCCAGAGCUGGUAAGAUAAGAAUAGCAUCCGAAGCUGCUGGUGCAUGGCCAAUAACCGGUCACCUCCUCUUAGGUGGGUCACAACUUCCUGGGAUUUUUUAUAAAAUUACGGUAGAUUUAAAUUUAAUUUUUUUAAAAUGCAGCAUAUUAAAAAAUAUCUUUGAAUAAUAAUAAUAAAAUGACAAAUAAUAAAAAGGAAAGAAAGUUGUCUUGUGGCUAUAAGAAAGAAUAAUAUAAAAGAGAGAGAAGAGGAGAGGCGGAUAGAGAGAAGAGUAGCAGGAAAAAAAAAAAAGAGAACAGGGAGGUGCAUGCUGCAAAUCUUUGGGUGUUCGUAUGACGAGCAAAACGAGUUAUGUUUUGCGUGAAAAUUAAGGUGAAAAUUUUCUUUGACAUGAGGAACAUUCUUUCAAAGUUUGAUUUUAAUUUCAAUGAUUGGAUUUUUUGAUUUGUGGUGAGGUAGUUUAAUCCUAUAACUUUUGUUUAAUAUUUUUUCUUAAAAAAAUAUUAUGGAUUUUAUUACUGGGAGAUAAAUAUGUGUUAUUUGUGUUUUCUUUAUGUUAUUUGAAAUAUGAUUAUUGUUAGGGUGGAUUAUUAUGAUUUUUUUUUUUUUUUAUGUUUGCAAUGAUUUAAUUGAAGAAAAAUUAUUGUGUUGAUUGUUGGAAAUUAUUCAAUAUAUUAAGAAUAAAUAAAAUUUAUAUGAUUAUGGUUUAGACUAUGUUUUGAUGAUAUAUAAAUUAUUGUGAUUUUUUUUGUGGUUAUUUAAUUGAAGAAAAAUUGUUGUGAUGUAAUUGGAAUUAUUGAUUAUGUUUGGAGUAAAUAAAAAUUAUGUCCUAUAAAAUUAUGGAUGAUAACAUGUAAGUUUAUUAUAUUUCAUAUAUGGUUAUAUGAAAAAAAAUGAUGAAAGAUUUUAUGAAAUGGAAAAAGGAAAAAAAAAGAAAAAAAAAAUGAUGAUGAAAAGUAAAAGCCCGUAAAAGACGAAUUAAGAAAGAAAUGAGAUUUCUAGUAUGAAAACUACAAAAAUUUAUCUUAUGAAAACUCUAAAUGGGGAGUGUAUUUGGUACAGAUGCAUAUCAUUAAGUGAAAACCCAAAAACAAUAGUUUGUUACUUUACUGAAUGUAAACAUUUGCAUCAUGUUUUUAUUUGGAAGAAUGACAUGUAUUAAUUACUUGAAUGACGUCAAUGGUAUGUUUGGAUAUAUUAUUAGAGAUUGAAAUGAUUUAUUUAUUUUGUAAAUUUAGAAUUGUUUGAUAUGUUAUUUAUAUAAUUGAAUAAGAAAUGUGAUAAUUUUGAUUAGUUUAAUUUUAUAUGGUUGAUUUUUUAUUUAAUGACUAUAAUGCAUUGUUUUGAAAAUUGGAUCGGACCAACCGGUUCAAUCGCCAACUGGUGAUCUUUCCGGUUCCAUCCUCUCCUUUAAACCGCUAGAUGGUUGAACCGACCACAAACCACUAUUGGCAGUUGGACCGAUGAACCGCUUGGACCAGGUGGUUUUUCAUGAACUGCAUGGCUCAAUUCCAGCCCAGUCUUCCCCCCAUUUUUUCUUUCAUCCAAAUAGUCCAACCUUCCCCUCCUCUUUUUCAUAGGGUCCAAGUGAAAGCCCAAUAAGCCCAGCCUUACAUCUUAAUGGUCUUUAGGCAAAACCUAAACCCAUUUAAACCCCUCAAUGGGUUGUACCUUUGAACCCAUUAGUUACACAAAUAGCUUGAAUGAACUGUGUUUUACGCGCAUAUUCACAUCCACAUCCAUGUGGGAUUGCUGCUAUUUUAAGUCUAAAGAAAAAGCAACGCCACUUAGCUACAACACAAUUUGAUGCAAGUCUAGAAAAUAAAAAAAUCAGCAUGUGUUUCAAAAAAGAUUAAUAAUAUUAAAUAAAAUAAUAUAAUAUUUUCUGAAAUUAUAAAAUUAGUUAAAGUUAAAUAAUUAAAUUUUUACAUAUUCCAUUUAAUAAAGUUCAAAAUAUUAAUAUAUUUAUAUUUAUAUUUUGAUAAUAUCAAAGAUAAAAAAUAAAUAUUUUUAAUUUUUUAAUUUAUAUAAUAUUAUAUUUUGACAUAUAAUUGUUUUCUAUUGACUUAAAUUUUUUAAUUCAUUUGGGUGUAAAACACCUUACAAAACAAUGUGAAAAUGUUCACCCCUUUAUUUUUAUAAAAUUUUUAGAUACAAAUAUAGUUUAUAAGGAACCAUAAGAAAAUCAAGAAGUGUUCCAAAAAGCCUUAACAAAUAAAAGAAAAAUAAUAAUAAUAAUUUUUAAUUUAUAUUACCUUUUUGACAUGUACUAAUUUGAGUUAUAUGAAUUUUUGUAACUUAAAUUAUAUUUUGUUAUUUUGUAAAAUAUUUUUGGAAAUAUUUUUUACUUAGAUUUAUGUAGAUAUUUGGGUUAAUUUGGGAUUAAAUAUUGAUCUAUUCACUGUCAAAUUGGAUAGGAAUAAACUUUAAGGUCAACCCUUUGACCUGAUAUCACUAGUCGGAUUCUGAGUUGCCUUGGGUGUGACUAUAAUGGAUUUUCUUCUCCAAUGCCUAAACCCUGUCAUGGUUGGAGCGUUUGCAAUACUCGUCCUCUCAUACCACCUGUUAUUAUGGAGGUCUGGAGCUGGUAAGAGCAGAAUGGCACCUGAAGCUUCUGGUGCAUGGCCCAUAAUAGGCCACCUGCACCUGUUAGGUGGAUCUAAGAAUUUGCCUCACUUACUUUUUGGAACCAUGGCCGACAAGUAUGGACCAGUAUUCAGCAUCCGGCUGGGAUUAAAAAGAGCUGUGGUUGUGAGUAGUUGGGAAAUGGCCAAAGAAUGCUUCACCACCCAUGACCUGGCUCUGGCCUCCCGUCCUGAGCUUGUGGCCGCCAAAUAUUUGGGAUAUAACUAUGCCAUGUUUGGUUUAUCUCCUCACGGUGCAUACUGGCGUGAAGUGCGUAAGAUAGCCACUCUAGAGCUACUCUCGAACCGCCGGCUAGAGUUGCUGAAGAAUGUCCGAAUCUCAGAGGUGGAGACAUGCAUGAAGGAACUAUACGAGCUUUGGGCAAAGAAGAAAAGCGAAGCAGGCGUUGUUUUGGUGGACAUGAAGCAAUGGUUUGGGCACUUGUCUCUGAACGUGAUUCUUAAGAUGGUUGUUGGAAAACGAUAUUUCGGUUAUGCAGCCGAAAGUAAAGAGAAAGAGGCCCAGCAGUUCCAGAAGGCGAUUAGGGAAUUCUUUCGUUUGAUGGGACUCUUUGUGGUGUCGGAUGCCAUUCCUUUUCUUGGAUGGCUUGACGUGGGUGGACAUGUGAAAGCCAUGAAGAAGACUGCAAAAGAAUUGGACGGUAUUACUCAGGAAUGGUUAGAGGAACACCGACGGCGAAAAGAUUCGGGUGAAGCUGAUGGUGACCAGGACUUCAUGGACGUGAUGCUGUCCAUUCUGGGUGGUAGAGACACUACUGAUUAUGAUGCUGAUACCAUCAACAAAGCUACAUCCCUGGUAUGCACAUUAUUCCUUUAGCAUCUUUAUAUGGUAGUAAAAAAUGAGACAUAAUUUCAUGCUUUAUCAUCUUUAGUCCAGACUCAAGAGUACUUGGGCCUGGGUUGGAAGAACUUCUUAUUUUUGCUUAGUUUCAAGUUGAAACUAAUCAAAAGCAGCGAUUUUUAAAAGGUAAUUAUAAUAGUGGUGUUAUUAAAGGUCAAACAUAAAUAACUUUUUGCAUAAAUCAAAAUAGAGUUUAUAUAUAUAUAUAUAUAUAAAAUAUUUUUCUGAUCUUCAUAUUAAUUUUUCUAAGUCAUAACUUUUUUGAACAAAAUUAGUCAAACCAUAGAACUCUUGAACUUACAGAAAAGGGCUUUCGAUUUCUUAGAAAUAGAUACAUGAAGAGUUUUGUUAUAUGUUUGUUUUUGUCAAAAGAGUAACAUGAGCAGCUUAGACAAGCAAUUAGAAUGAAAUACAACUGGGCUGAGAAGCUGAGUAGAACUAGAAUUAUGUACAACCUCUUGCUAGGAUAAUUGGGUUGGACUUGUAAUGAUAGAGUUCUCCGUUGGAGUUAGGUGGCCCAAAAAGAUUGUGCUGUUUGAAUAGCUGGUCCUCUAAUUUAGGAAGAGGCAGCCGAAUUUGCAACGCUGGGUGGCUGGGCCCAUAGAAAAUAUUCUUGUCAGAAGAUUGUGAAAGUAUGUUCCUUAGUCCGCAAGGUUUGAGGCCUCUUUGAGUGGGCUUCUAGAGUCGGUUAGACAAUUGGGCCUUUCAAAGGAUUUCCUAAAUUUACAAUUUUUUUAGCCCAACAUGAAUUUUUAUAAAAUGCUAUAUUUAUACGUGAGUUUCAUAUUCAAGCUAAACAUACCCAUUUUGAUUGGAAAAAAAGGGAAAGAACAUGGGGCCUUUUUUCCACCCUUAAUCUUAUCACUACUUUUAAUUUUAUUUUAUUAGUUAAUGGUUUGUAUUUCACAGGUUAUGAUUGGAGGAGGCGCUGACACUACAUCUGGUACUUUAACAUGGGCAGUCUCACUUUUAUUGAACAAUCCACACAUAUUAAGAAAAGCUCAAGAAGAAUUGGAUGCUCAUGUUGGUAAAGAAAGACUAGUAAAUGAAAUGGAUAUAAGCAAGUUGGUUUACCUUCAAGCAAUUGUUAAAGAGACAUUGAGGUUAAAUCCAAUAGCCCCACUUUCAGGACCGCGUCAAUUCAUCCAAGAUUCUAUUUUAGGUGGUUACCAUAUCUCAAAAGGCACUCGUCUUAUAUUGAACCUUACCAAGAUUCAAAGAGACCCGAGAGUAUGGUUGAACCCAAUGGAGUUCCAACCAGAUAGAUUCCUCACCACCCACAAAGAUGUUGAUGUUAGAGGUAAACAUUUUGAGUUGACACCAUUUGGUGGUGGAAGAAGAAUUUGCCCUGGAAUAGUUUUUGCCCUUCAAGUGCUACACUUAACAUUAGCCAACUUCCUGCAUAGAUUUCAACUUUCAACUCCAUCAGAUGCACCGGUUGAUAUGAGCGAGGGUUUUGGAUUAACAAACAUCAAAUCCACUCCACUUGAAGUUCUUAUCUCCCCACGCUUAGCUUCUUAUGAUCUUUAUGAGUAGAAUUUGAGGUCGCUAAGAGACUUAUUUCAAAAAACCUAGUACUAUGAAAUGUGAAAUAAAAAUAAAUUUCAUAGCAUAAGUUUAGUAUUAUUUUAAAAUAGUUACUAAUGUCUGUCCUUUAAUAUUGUCUUAGCUUGAAUUUAAUGAAAAAUAUUUUCGACACUUAUUUUGUGUGGACAAGUAAUGACCCAAUUUCUUGUUAUGUUUCUUCAUUCUUCCAUGAAAGAGAAUUUAGAAGAAAAAGUGGCAUAUAGCAUUACAAUUGAAAAAUUAAUAAGCAUGUACUCCAUAUGCAUAGUAGACUUAAUGAGUUUCCAAGUUGAUUAAUUGGUAUCUCCUUUUGAUAGAUUUCAGCCACCUUUUUGUACAUGAUUAAAGUAGUAAUGGAGACUAAAAUUACAACUCCCAUUUCAUUGUAAAAAGUUGGGAUGUGCAAGGUGGGUCAGUUCAAUUUUGGGCAUUAAAAUCAAAUCGAAUUGAACCCAAAAGAGGAAAAUGAUUAGUUUGACUUGAUUAACAAUAAUCUAAGUUGGUUUAUUUUGCUUCUAUUUAUAACAUCAAUUUUUUUUUUUAAUUUGAACGAAAAUAAUAUUAUUGAAGCAAGUCAUCUUUGGACGGUUGAAAUGAUAUUAUUACAACUAAUUUCAAAUCAUAUUAUUAUAACUUAAUGAUGUGAAUAGGUAUUAUUGUAACCCAUGUCAAUCAUAUCAAAUAGUCCAAGUCAUAGAUAAAAGUUAUAAAGGUGUGAUUGGGAGUUCCAUCCAAUGUGAAAAAUGUAUACCCAAUUAAUGAUGUAACCAAUUGUUAUACUGUAUAUUAUUACUGUGUGUAUAACUUUCAAUUCAAUUCAGUUUGGUUCAUUAAUUUUUUUAAUAGGUAAUUGAAUUGGUAUAACUUGGUUUUAUAUUUAAAAAACCAAAUUUAUUAAAAAAUAAAAUCUUAAAAAAUUAAUAGAUUUGGGUCAAUUUCAUUGAUUUUGCCAAUUGUACACCCUAAAAGAAGGGAUGUCCACUUAUCAUCCAUAAACUUUGUGUACUCCUAAGUUACAAUUUUGCCCCAUGUGAUUCACAUUUGUACUUAUUAUACUCAAUUUUCCGUACAAAUGAUUUAUUAUUUUGCAGAAUUUUACUCCAUGAGAUUCACAUUUGUACUUAUUAUUACCAACUUUGUCUGCUCUUAAGUUACAAUUUCUCCUAAUUAGAUUCACAUGCGUUACUGCCAUAAUUGACUUUCCACAUUUAUGCAUGAAUUAUUAUGUCAAUAGAUGCAUUAUCAUUUUGUCAAGUUAAUCUGACUUAGGUUAAUCACCAAAGGCAAGGUGAAUUAAUUGACUCAAUUUUAAUAAAUUUUAAUUUAACUAAGUGCAAGUAAUAAUAAUAAAACAGUUAAAAAAUACAUAAUUAAAUAACUAAAAAGAAGAGAUAACAGGUACAAACUCCGAUUUAUAUUUUGCUCAAUCCCAUACUCUCCUCAAGCUCUCAAAUGCAAAUUGAGGGUUCCACUAGCUUUUAAGACUUCAAUCAAAUCUUAAUCCUUUACACUUGGAUUCUCAAUUUCAAUGAUCUUUUUACACUUUAAUUCAAGAAAUUCCUCACUCUUGAACAUACUCAAAGGUAACACUUGAACAACAUUGAUCUCACAAAAUUUUAUUUACAAAUAAUAUAAAUGAAAACUUAAAUGGUUUUUCUUGGCUAGGAUUUCUAAGUUAAUAAGGAUUUUUGCAUUAAAAAGAAAUAGUUAAAAUCAAUUGGGUUUUGUAAGAUUUUGAUAUAUAUCUUAGUUUGCGAGUUUUUUGGGAUUCUAUUAUAAUCUUAUUGUUUUAUCCUAAAAUUGUCAAAAAAAGAAAUCAGUAAUUUAGUAUGGCAAUUUUACUCCAAAGAUUAUUGAUUAAAAAUUAUUUUACUAAUACCAACGUGUAAGAGUUAAAGGCAUAAAAUUGAAAUUAAAGUAAGUUUAUUAUUUUGGAUUUGGUUAAGUAAUGACAAGAUUAAUAAUUGAAAUUAAUGUAAAAAGAAGUGUAAAAACUUUAAAAGUUUAAAAUAUCAUUUCAUUAUUAAUUAGUUUCCACUUGCCAACAUAGACUUCUCAUUCUAUUCAAACAAGUUUUUUGUACUUUUAUAUAUAUAUAUAUAUAUAUUUCAUAAACUUAACAAAGGAUACAAACAACAAAAGAAAAAAAAAAUUGAGCUACUAAACCUCAAUAUAAAUUUGGGGUGAAUUAUCAAGGUCUAUUAAGGAGCAUGGGGAAGUGUUGUAUCACAUAUCGAUGUGAAGAAGGUGUAUAUAUAUUUAUAGUAUAGGACCUAAGAUGUGAACGUUUCUUUUAAAGUUAGGUAAACAUUUCUUUCAAAAUUAAUGGAAUCUCACUAUGAUUUAUAUACACAUGCUUUCAGUGUCCAUAGAGGUUGAAAUAAUACGAUGAUUUUUAACUUAUAUCUUGCUUUUUAUAUGUGAUUUAAUAUUGUUUUGGAUUAUUGAUUAUGACUCAUGAAUUAUCAUGCAUGGAACUAAUCAAAAUGAUAUAAUUAAAUUAUAUUAAUGAAUUUGAGAUAGACAUGACAAUUAUUAAUUUAAAAUAUCUUAUAUGAACAUAAAAUUUUAAAUAUAGACUCAUAAUUUAUAUAUAUUAAUAUAAUAAAGUUGAAAAACUACGUUUAUCUCAAAUUUAUGCCUAGGGCCCAAAUUUUGCUGAGAGCCAGCCGGAUGUCAUCACAUGCAAGAAAGCUAGGAAACAAAGCUAAAGUUUGCUUCUUGUGUGGGAAGAGGUACUUCCGUGCUUGACUGAAAGAAAGGAUUUUCUACAAGAAAAAUUGUCCCCUUGUUUGUAAAGCCUCAAGUUGCGACAGCAAUAACGACAAAAGUAGGCCAAAGAAUUUGUCAUUAUUAUGAGACUAGAGAGGUUUUACUGAGAAGUUUUCCGAGCGUGAUAUCAGCAUUCGCUGUAUCACAGUGAUACAACAAAUGGUUUGAACACAGUGAUCUAGAACCCAUUAGCUCAAAUUUCAUUGAUCUGAACACGAUGAUCCUCAUCCGCAGACCAUUUUAGGGAAUGAUUAAUUCGAGCGAUUUUUUAACUGCCUGUACGAAGAACUUUAUCAAAAUUGGAUUCAGUGUAUCUUAACCAAUCUUGAUCAGUAUGCGACUGAUGAUUCUAUUUGAUAAAAGUAAUGCGGUGGCCCAACUUUAUCUUAAUUUCUAUGUUGAAAGUAACCAUAUAUUAUUCUAUAAUUAUAAAUAUAUACUGUGGAAUCAAGAUAACUUUGAUAUGCUAAGGAUCAAAAGAGGGCAGCCACUUUAGUAGUGGAUUAUACUAAAUAAAGCUGAUCGAUUAUUACAUUGGAAAAUAACAUUGAACCUAUCAUGAAAGACAACCCUACUGGACCAUGCCCCGAGUACUAAAUGCUGAUAAAAAACAAGUACAUGUUCCAAAGGAAUUGAGUCCAUAUAUACACAUUAGUGCUCAAAGAGAAAAACUAUAUAUCCACCGCUUAACUACAGUGAUCCUUUGAGCAGAAGAAGCUAGCCAUGUAUUUCCUUCUCCAAUACCUAAACAUCACCACGGUCGGAGUCUUUGCCACACUUUUCCUUUCCUACUGUCUAUUAUUAUGGAGGUCUAGAGCUGGUAACAAAAAAAUAGCACCUGAAGCUGCUGCUGCAUGGCCCAUAAUCGGUCACCUACACCUGUUAGCUGGUGGUUCUCAUCAGCUUCCCCACAUAACCUUGGGAAACAUGGCCGACAAAUAUGGACCGGUCUUCACAAUUCGGAUUGGGUUGCAUCGAGCUUUGGUGGUAAGUUCUUGGGAGAUGGCUAAAGAAUGCUCGACCGCCAAUGACCAGGUUUCAUCCUCGCGUCCCGAACUUUUAGCCUCAAAACAUUUGGGCUACAACUACGCCAUGUUUGGUUUCUCUCCAUACGGUUCUUACUGGCGUGAAAUGCGCAAGAUAAUCAGCCUAGAGCUACUCUCUAACAGCCGCUUAGAGCUGCUGAAGGACGUCCGAGCUUCAGAAGUGGUGACAUCCAUAAAAGAGCUAUACAAGCUCUGGGCAGAGAAAAAAAAUGAAUCGGGCCUUGUCUCUGUGGAGAUGAAGCAGUGGUUUGGAGACUUGACUCUGAACGUAAUUCUUAGGAUGGUGGCAGGGAAGCGUUAUUUCAGUGCUUCAGAUGCAAGUGAAAAUAAACAGGCGCAGAGGUGCCGGAGAGUGUUCAGGGAAUUCUUUCAUUUGUCAGGGCUCUUUGCGGUGGCGGACGCUAUUCCAUUUCUUGGAUGGCUCGACUGGGGGAGACAUGAGAAAACCCUAAAGAAGACAGCAAUAGAAAUGGACAGUAUUGCUCAAGAAUGGUUAGAGGAGCACCGUCGGAGGAAAGACUCCGGUGAUGAUAAUAGUACGCAAGACUUCAUGGAUGUGAUGCAGUCAGUUCUUGAUGGCAAAAACCUUGGUGGUUACGACGCUGAUACCAUCAAUAAAGCCACAUGCAUGCCUGGUAUGAGUUAUUAAUGAAGCACCCACGUACCAUUUAUAUUUGCAUAUUAUCAGGGCUAGCUUCUUUUCCACAGACAGUUUUUCUUUUGUUUAUAUGUUUUAAUUGAUGCAUAUUCACUUUCUUCUUCUCUUAAUUAAAUUGCAAUAAUUAAACAUACAAUUUAAAUAAAUUUUAAAUUUUAUUUUUAACUAAAAACAAAAGUAUACAUAUACAAAUAUAUAUUGCUUAAGCAAUUAAUUUUUAAAAAUUAUUCUUUCAGAACACCUUAGACAAGUUGAGACAUGCUUCGAGGGAAAUCUAAAUAUAAUGAUUUUAAAAGCUACUUUGUAAUUUUAUUUUCGAGCAUGUUGCAUAAUAUAUGCUUUCCUUGAAUUGAUUUUCUAAAUUUUAUUUUUGUCAGCAAGAAAGGGUUAUCUACGUUUUGGAAGUUAUCUUUAAUUUCCCCUGCAAAGAAUAAGUGUGUGGACCCUGCAUUUCGGCUCAAUGCGUUUCCCACUCGAUGGCGAGCUCGAUUUUUAUUUGAAAAAUGAUUUUUAUUGAUUAUUUAGAAAAUGACUUGGAGUCGCCACUUAUUUUUGUUUUAUUUUUAAAGGGUAAACAAAAUAAGAAAGAAAAACCCUAAGUGUGACUCCUUAUUUUGGAAAAGGUGGUCUGUGAAAAACUGAAUCGGGUUCAGGGGUCAGGUUACUUAUUGGGAAGGUACGGUAUGGACCGUAGCACCCCUCUAAGUCCCUAAAGUCGGGUCUCUACUAAUGAGAUGAAGCUGACAUGGCAAUCAAUGAGAAAAUCAAUGAAUACUCGAAUCAAUCAUGCACAUAUGAGAGACAAAGCAUGUAUAAAGAAUGAGCAAAAUAUGAAUAGAUGCGUACCUGGGCGACAAUCACGAAUGCGCUAUCAUGAAACAUGGUUAGUGAACAAUAAACAUAUAUAAUUAAGCGCAUAUCAAGGAAUAGAGUAAAUCAAUCAUGCAUGACAAAUAAAUCAAUCAAUCAUGGAAUCUCAUAUGUAGGGCCCCCACCAAAACCCAAUUCAUUUUUGCAUGAAUCAAUUCCAUAAAUUCCAUCACUUGGAAUUACGGAAUUUAAUUCUUACUUAUUUUUAAAACAUUUUAAAAACCAAGAAAAUGCACAAGUGGCUUGCCGGAAGGAAAAUGGCAACCAAAUUUUAUUGAAAAUGGGAUUUAAGAAGAUUAUUUUCAAGAAAACAGGGGAUGAGAGAAUAGAAGGAAAUGGCACAUGGUCAAGAGCUGCAUGCCUAAGGUGGCCAUGCAAAAACACUUCCCUCUAAGCUCAGGGUGGAGGGACUGCACUAUAAGGAUCAGUGGUGCUGCAGAGCUUGUCAGAACAGCUGAUGGCAUCAUAGGUGUUGCUCCUGAUUGCCUGAAAGAAUUCAUCUCUAAUGGACGGAAUCGAUUGCUCUACAUGAUUAUUCCAGAAGGUAAUGGUUGAGUCCUUAGCUUCACGAACCCAAUUUUUUAUGUCAUUACUUCCCAUCAAACUACCAUGACAUAGGAGCCACACUGAGCAAACUGAUGAGCCCGCUGCCCCACAUGUAUAGGGAAUCCAGUACAAAGUUAAUUUCCGCGGUUUACGAUGUUCGGAAACAAGGAUACUUAGGUAAGAAUCCAGCUUAUACAUGAUAAAUCACGNNNNNNNNNNNNNNNNNNNNNNNNNNNNNNNNNNNNNNNNNNNNNNNNNNNNNNNNNNNNNNNNNNNNNNNNNNNNNNNNNNNNNNNNNNNNNNNNNNNNGUGGAUGCCGCCUAUGAUACUAGCCUCAGAAAUCAUGCCAUUGACAUCGUUGUGCUUGUUACUAUUGCCAUCUCUAUCUCACAUGUGAGAGCCCUUGAUGGAAUCAAUUAAAAUAAUCCUUGAUAGAAACGUGGACUUCAUGUCUCAAAUCUGGCCUUUCAUAUCUCCUCAUUUGUCCAUGUCAACUAUUGUCACCAAGCCAUAAGCCUCUUGAUCCCAUGAUAACCCCAUUAUUCAACCCAAUACUUCAAUGAUGAUUCUCUUUCAUUUGCAUUCCUGACCUUCUCUUAUCUCCAUUACUGAUCCCAUGGAUGUUUACAGGAUUGAGUAUUUGGACGAGAGCAAACUUUGAUUAGAACCCUGUAUCAUGUUGAGUCUCUGCCAGCCUGGAAGGAUAAAAAUCACGUUGCCCCAUAUGGUGAGUUUUACUUUGAUUUACUCUUCCUCCUUGAUUCGUAUAAUGCAAGAAGGACAGGAGUUAAAAUGUCACGGAUAGCAUGAUGGCAAUGCCCAAAAGUAGCGUCAGUGUACAUUUGAGUCAAACGCGACUCCAUAUCAAACAUUGGCGGCCAGCGUCCAAGUCAAAGGGACGUAGUGCCCAUAAUUCACUGUUGAUAUUCUUCUUUCUGGGGAUGGAACAGAUCCAACUUCAAGGAUUGGGUGAGUCUCCUAAGAACUUUUCAUAAGGAUGGAUGACUGCCCAACAAUGCACUCAGGUUCCAUCAUUGCAAAGCCUCAACAGACUGCAUGCACCAUUCGUCGCGUACCUCACGACAAAUGUGAGUCUGGUUAAUCCCGUAGGAGGACUCCAAGCAGCAUGCAUAACGUACCUCUUCGGAAUAUCACAACGAGACCCACUGGUGCCCUCGUCUGAAUACCCCUCCGCCUCUCAUUCAAGUAAUGGGUGUUGGACCCAUGUAUGCAUGCAAAGAUGGAGGAGUGAAGUGGUGAGAGAAAGGAUGUAUGGAUUUAGCUGCGAGUAAGGUCACGGGUAUGGGAGGAUGGAUGCGGUGAAGACCUUUGAGGGUGAUGAAAAAUGGUGCAUGGAGUAAGAUAGGCUAAAGUGGAAAUGCGUGGUAGAAUGGGCAUAGGAGUAUCAUGAGAGAAGUGUGCAGGGACUACAUGCAUGUGGGUGGCUAGGGAAGUAAAAGAUGGGUUCAACAGUGAAACGUAUGGGAAUGAUGAGAGGGAAAGCGGAUUAGCAGAUGGGGUUAAUGAGUGAUAUGAAGAAUGGGGUAUGAGACCUGGGUAUAAGGUGAAAUGAAUAUGACAUGGUUAUGCAUGGCCAUGCCAUGGCCAUGCAAGAACAUGAUGGAAAGGGAGUGACGGAUGUAUGAAUAAUGGAGAGCAUGAGGAGGUAUGGGAUAGAUGAACAGGGCUGGAUGGUGGAUGAUGAAUAAGUAAUGGUGAAAUGGGUAUGAAAGAGUUUGAAGAGAGAGAAAAGGUGGUAAUGUGGAAUGGGUUUGAUAGGUGGGAGUACAAAGUGGGUAUGAAGAUGGGUAUGAAUGGUUUAGUAGGUACGAGACAAAUGGGUUAGAUGGAGGGUAUAAUGGGUGAUGUAAUGAUGGAAACCCGGGCGUUUAUUCAUCUUUGGAGGCACGAUACCCGGGUCAUGAACAGAUGGAUCACACUUCUUGGCCAGCUGCAUUCAGGCCAUAGUCAAUACAACCGACUUCGCUACCUCCAUUUCCAGGCACAGUGAUUGACACAAAGGAAGGUAACUUCCCAAUAAUCAAGCUUCUUUCGAUACAAGGUCUGCAUGGCUUAGCCGAGUUCAGUUUAGUUGGGUGUCGAAUCCCAUUGGUCAGUAGACCCAUUUGGAGCGAAACUGAACCCUUUAAUCCAAAUGGACCGUUACAGAGAGCACAAAGCAGCAGUAGGAUUAGCAAGACCCAGAGCAUAAGAGCGGGCUGUGACCAUGGCAGAGAUUCCAAAUUAGAAAGCAAGCACAAAACCAUCCAUGGAAGAGGUUAUCCAAGGUUUUGGAUGCUUAUGAAGUUUUCCCGCAAGUUGAACGAAUCUGUAACAGAGUGCCUUCUGAUCUAACCUGCAUAGUUUCAACAUGUACCACACCAUCCCCAUUCACGGUACCUCCAAUCACUAUGUCACCCUUCUUUCUUCGCCAUAGGCCUAGCAUCCUCUGUGAGCAUGUUCUUGAACCCACAAUCUCCCGCUUUACCUCAUGGAAACAUGUCAACCAAAAUAGCCCACCCAUCAAGUGACUGAUUCAACUCUGAUACCCGACAUCUCAGAUGCACCAACAACAGAAGCACAAAAGGGUAGGAAAUGGGGCCAAAACAGAAAAGAACGAAGGAAGGAUAAACGAGGAAUAAAGUAAAACAUAAGUGUAUAGAGCCUCAUUUCAGGUGACAUCCAUGGGCUUAUACAAGUGAGGAGAUCUCAAGUUAGAGUUACAGAAUAUAUGAGGAACCGAGUUCUAUUAACUCCAAGCCAAACCACAAGAACAGCAGUAAAAUCAACAACAAUAGAGUAUAAAAACGAUCCAGAAAUCAACAAAAUUCAGUACGUAUGACCCAACUCAAAUUGAUGAGCAAUGCAGAGCAAACCAAAAUGAGAAAAGGGUGAGAAAAAUAUGAAUCAAAGUAAGCAAGAAACUCACCUCAAACUCACCUGCAGACGCUCCUCUCUCUAUUCCUUCAUUCUCUAAGCUUCAGCUAGCCAAAAACAACGCCCAGAAUCUCCGUCACACAGCCACCCAAAACCUCCUCCUCUGCAGCCUCGAACCUCUCUGCCAACAAACAGCAACCAAAAGCACCUCCCCCUCUCGGAAACUUCUUUCUCCCUAAAAAAAAACUCUCAGACCAGCCUCUCUAAAGCUCCCCCUCUCUCAAGUUCACCGUCCAAAAUUACUCCUCUCAUGGAAAAACUCCCUGGAAUCCCCUCAGCAGCCCCGGUACCUCCAGCUAAAAGAAAAUCACCCCCCCCGGUUCUCAUGUCUCUCUCACCUUUUUUUCUCUCUAGCCAAAACCAGCUUUCUUUUCCUCCCUUUGGAAAUAUCUCCCUAACGGCCAGACGACACCCACCUGCCUUGCAGCUGCAAGCCUCCACUCCCCCCUAUGCAGCUGGCAGCCUCCCAAAAUCAACCCAACAAAAGCUCUUCCCCUAAAGAUUUCUGCCACCUUCCUCUUCUAGGCAAUAUCUCUUUUCUGUCCCGGAUUUGCCCCUCCAACAAUCCCUGUAGCCACCUCCAGCACCACUACACUCUGCAUGCAACUGGCAACACCUCCUAACGGAAAGCACGCUCCCUUCUUCUAGAAUGUUCUUCACUUUCCAGGUGUCUUCCUCUUAUUAGUCCAUCAAUUCCACCAUAGUGAUUCCACUAGUAGCCAACCCGAGAGUGACACGUGGCCAUGCGAGAUGGUGACACUUGUCCAGCAUCAGCUGCAAGAAUGACUCCCAAAAUGGGGGUCUACAACUAUGCCCAUUUUCGGUAGAGUUCACAAGUGUAAGGAAAAUGAACACUGGAAUGAAAGGUAGGUGUGAAUAGUGAGUGGAAUGAAGUGAACUCUACCGAAGAACCAAGGAGACCCCCAUAGGGACACUAGCAAAACACGAAUUCGCUCAGGCUGACAGACUGACACAAAGGCUCUGAUCCUAAAACAAAAUGAUGUCUCAAAAUGCCUCUGAGGCCAUACUAAGGAUCCAAGCUCCCUUUAACAUGCCUCCAAAAGUGACCCGAAGAUCGAUGUCAAAAGUGAGUAACGGUCGAACCACCCUGGAGUACGAACAAGAAUGCGUCUAAAGGAGACUGCCCUAUGUGGACUAUGAGAUGAAUAGGUGAUAAGCACAGGGUAACGAGGUGAGAAGAGUGAGAAUAAGUGCAAAUCCAUGAAGGUGAGAUGCGCAAUGCCAGUGAAUAUGAACGCUAGGGGCUGCGACUCUGAAUGACGAGACUGACCCUAAACGCUAAACUGAGAAAAACAAUGGCUCUGGAAGCCAGACCAAAAACUAACUCUAAAAACUAAACUAGAAUAACAGCUCUGGAAGUCAACCAAAAACUAACUCUAAAAGCUAAACUAGAAAACAACAGCUCUGGAAGCCAACCAAAAACUAACUCUAAAAACUAAACUAGAAAAUAACAGCUCUGGAAGCCAACCAAAAACUAACCCUAAAAGCUAAACUAGAAAACAAACAGCUCUGGAAGCCAACCAAAAACUAACUCUAAACUAGAAAAUAAUAGCUCUGGAAGCCAAACUGAAAACUAACUCUAAAAGCUAAACUAGAAAACAACAGCUCUGGAAGCCAAACCAAAAACUAACUCUAAAAACUAAACUAGAAAAUAACAGCUCUGGAAGCCAACCAAAAACUAACCCUAAAAGCUAAACUAGAAAGUAACAAACAGCUCUGGAAGCCAACCAAAAAACUAACUCUAAAAACUAAACUAGAAAAUAACAGCUCUGGAAGCCUAAACAAGUCGACAGUAACGACUCUGGAAGCCUAAACAAGAUGAUAGUAAUGGCUUUGGAAGCCUAAACAAGAUGACGGUAACGACUCUGGAAGCCUAAACAAGAUGAUAGUAAUGGCUCUGGAAGCCUAAAUAAGAUGACGGUAAUGGCUCGGAAGCCUAAACAAGAUGACAGUAACGACUCUGGAAGCCUAAACAAGAUGAUAGUAAUGGCUCUGGAAGCAUAAACAAGAUGACAGUAAUGACUCUGGAAGCAUAAACAAGAUGACAGUAAUGGCUCUGGAAGCAUAAACAAGAUGACAGUAACGACUCUGGAAGCCUAAACAAGAUGAUAGUAAUGGCUCUAGAAGCCUAAACAAGAUGAUAGUAAUGACUCUAGAAGCCUAAACAAGAUGAUAGUAACGACUCUGGACGUCGAAACUAAAAAGUGAUGAUGAUGACUCUGAACGUCAAACUGAGAAGUGAUAACGACUCUGAACGCCAAAACCGAGGAUGCGACUCUGAAUGUCGAUCUGAAAACCGAUGAUGGCUCUGAACGCCUAAACUGAGAAAUGAUGAUGAUGACUCUGAACGUCAAACUGAGAAGUGAUAACGACUCUGAACGCCGAAACCGAGGAUGCGACUCUGAAUGUCGAUCUGAAAACCGAUGAUGGCUCUGAACGCCGAAACUGAGAAGUGAUGAUGAUGACUCUGAACGUCAAACUGAGAAGUGAUAACGACUCUGAACGCCGAAACUGAGGACGCGACUCUGAAUGUCGAUCUGAAAACCGAUGAUGGCUCUGCACGCCGUAACUGAGAAGUGAUGAUGAUGACUCUGAACGUCAAACUGAGAAGCAAUGAUGAUGACUCUGAACGUCAAACUGAGAAAGUGAUAACGACUCUGAACGCCGAAACCGAGGAUGCGACUCUGAAUGUCGAUCUGAAAACCGAUGAUGGCUCUGCACGCCGUAACUAAGAAGUGAUGAUGAUGACUCUGAACGUCAAACUGAGAAGCAAUGAUGAUGACUCUGAACGUCAAACUGAGAAAGUGAUAACGACUCUGAACGCCGAAAUCGAGGAUGCGACUCUGAAUGUCGAUCUGAAAACCGAUGAUAGCUCUGAAUGCCGAAACUGAGAAGUGAUGAUGAUGACUCUGAACGUCAAACUGAGAAGUGGCUCUGAACGCCGAACUGAAAAAUGUGACAUGAUGACUCUGAAUGUCGUAAACCGUGAAUGAACGGCGACUCUGAACGCCAGACUGCAAGGAAACAAUGUGGGGGAAAUAUGCCCCAGUGUGACAUGCCGCUGCAAAUCUCAAACUGCUAGAAAUGGCUAAAAGGGACUCUACGAGUCUCGAAAGACGCACCACUAAGAGCUCAUGUCAAUGAAGAGCUCAGGAACAACGGUCAGUGAGGCGAAUACAAUAUAUCUCGGCCGAGUGAUGGAAACCGCGACGGACAUGUGAGAGAACGAUCGCCUCCAUGGCUAAAUGAGGGAAAUACGCCCCAGUAUGGCAUCAGAUGUACCCGAUCUGCCCUGAUGACCCGAGAAUAACACCAUGGGGAUGCAUAAAAGACCUGAUGUGUACCGCACUGAAAUGAUGACAUGGGGAUCCAAGCACUCGACAUAACCCCAUCCAGGAAUCACGACUAUAUCAAAGAGUAUGAAUCUGGCUGAACGAGUCAAGAGAGGCUCCUCGGAGUAUCAGGACAAAAUGAAAUCAAUCAUCAACCUGGCGUGUAUCUCAUAACUGUGGAUGAUCAUGUAAACCAGUGGGGAUCUAUAAAUCUCGAUCAAGAUGGGGAAUAUGCCCCAGUGUGGCAUCGGAAAUGUAACAUGUCGAAAAAUCAGCUGAGCUCAAAUCAUCUAUGCCUGCAACUAGCUAGAUGGCUCUCGAUAGGCUCCACUAAGGAAUCAUCGCGAGGAUAGCGAAUAUAUCAUCAUCCCUGUAUACAUCUCGCAAAUAAGGAUAAGCACGCAACUUCCUCAUGAUCUGUAAAUCUCAUCCGAACGGAAAUAUGCCCCUGUAUGGCAUCGAAAUGUAGGAUAGGUCGGAGAUCAGAUAGCAUGGAAUCAUCUAUCUUAGAACAUGUGACCUCUGCGAAAAUCCAUAAAGAUCCUCCGAAACGGAAUAUGCCCCAGUAUGGCAUCUGACGUGCGACAAACCAGGAAAAACAGGUGACAUCGAAUCAUCCCUCAUCAAACACGUGAUCCUGGUAAUCCAAACACGGUCGAAACGGAUCUAAACAUCUGAGAAGUGUUUCUCAGAAGAAGAUGCAUGGCAAAUAUCUGGAUGUCAACUGAAUCUCAAACACCUGUCCACAUAGAAGCCGUAGAAGACGAUAUCUGAUCCCAUGGCCUCAGGGUGGUCUUAAGACACAGGACGUAAUGUAGGCUAGGGUGAUAGGGUGAUAGAAACGAAGGGAAACUAAGCUCAAAUACCCAAUGAUCAAAACCCAUGCCCUCGUGUGUGAAAUGCAACAUGUACAGAAAAUCCUGUGAGCCCUGGACCUGAGGGUGUCUAAUGUGAAUAUGAUGUCAAUGAGGAAACAAGUGAAGCAAAUCAAACUGAUAAUGAGAUAUGUAAUGGUGAUACGAAGGGAAUAUCAAACCCGAGAUGGGUCUGGUAAGAAAAGAAUGAGAAGUGAAGUGAGAAUGACGAAUCAGAAGCGAAAACGAGGACGAUGAUAAUGAAGCGAAUAACAUCAAAAGGAGUGAUGAUCAACUCAGAUCAGACAUGGAGUGAUGUCACAUCAACUACGAACAUAAUGAUGGAACGUACAAUAACGCAGAGCUCCUAAGAGAAAGUCACUCAUCUCGCUCACAAAAUAUGCAACAAAAUGAAUACAAAGCCUGAGGGAUCCAGGGAAGCUCACAUACGAACUCCCGUCAACAAACAUACUCGAUCAAGUGACCCUCGAAUAUCAAUACAUACACUCAGUGAUGGAUAACAAAACACACUUGAUUUUUAUUUCUUUUUCCAUUUUUUUUUUUUCAUUUUUUUCAUUCAUUUUUUUUUUUUUUUACAACAUAUAAAUGAACUGUACAUGAUCUGAAUGCAUACAAAGAAGACCCAAAGACGGGAUCAAAAAUGAAUAAACAUGCCCUCAAAUAUCAAUAUAUCACAAACUCAAUCUAAUGAGAUGAGGUGACCUUCUCAAACUGAGGAUCCCUGGAUCAGUGUCCGUGGGAUAGAUAGUGGAAAUGGCGUGACUACCCUCCAUGUGAUGAAAUGAGGAGGAUCACCCCUCGGGGUGAAAGAAGAUGACAUGAAACGAAUAGUAGAUAAGAUAAAGAAAAUAUGAUGAAUAACACGAACAGUGAGAUGAGAUGAAAUGCAAUGAUGCAGUGGUGAGCACAGAUAAUGAGAAGAACGUGCCCCUAGGUCCAAGGCUCAUGAAACUCUCAAACAAUGCAUGCAUACACUAAAGGGCCCCAAUCCCGGUGUGAAAAUGUGAGCAAGGCUAUAGAAAAUGAAGGCUAUGAUGCGCGUGUGAGGCUCAAAUGGGCUAGCAAUGGACUAUAUAUAUCAGAAACGGGAUAAAGGGAUAUAGCUAACCGAAAUGAUGGCCACCCAUCCUGCGACCAUGGACUCAAACGUAGUACCUCUUUAGCUGAUCCACAUUGGUCGGCUCUGAGAACUGGUUUCCAUCUAAAUCCAUCAGCCAUGCAGCGCCCUCUGGAGUCAACUUCCUGAUGAAAUAAGGUCCGCUCCAACUAGGUCUGAACUUCCCUCUAGGAUCUCUGAUCAAUCCUCUGAUGACUCUCAAAACUAAGUCACCUACAUGCAGUGGUCUAGGCUUGACCUGCUUUUUGAAAGCGCGGGCCAUCUUCCUCUGAUAUGCACGAACGUGGUCUGCUGCUCUCAAUCUCCUCUCAUCUAGGAGAUUGAGCUGAUCAAAUCGAGCCUGAGCCCAAUCCGUCUGGGGAAUCUGCUGCUCUAGUGCUACUCUCAAUGAUCCCAUCUCAAUCUCAACAGGUAGCACUGCCUCCAUGCCGUACACCAAUGAAUAGGGUGUGGCUCCUGUAAAGGUGCGAAAAGAAGUCCGAUAUGCCCACAAUGCGAAAGGGAGCUUCUCUGACCAAUCCCGAGAAGUCUCAACCAUCUUUCGCAAUAUCCUCUUAAUAUUCUUAUUCGCGGCCUCUACUGCCCCAUUCGUCUGCGGCCUGUACGCAGACGAUCUAUGAUGCCGGAUGCCGUAUCUCUGCACCAAGGUGUCAACCUCUGCUCUGAAAUGCACCCCUCUGUCUGAAAUAAGCUCGUGAGGGACUCCAUAGCGACAAAUGAUGUGCGAUCUAAUGAAACUGACAACUCCAGAUGACGUCAAUCUCGCAUACGAGGCGACCUCCACCCACUUGGUGAAGUAAUCAAUAGCAACAAGGAUAAACUCAUGACCACUGGAAGAUUUCGGUGAAAUCUUCUCGAUGAUAUCGAUACCCCAUACUGAAAACGGCCAUGGUGAAGUCAAUGCAUGCAACUCCGAGGGCGGCACGUGAAUGAGAUCUCCAUGUAUCUGACACUCGGGACAUCUCUGAACGAACUGGCAACAAUCUGUCUCCAUGGUCAACCAAAAGUAUCCUGUCCUCAUGAUCUUACGGGCCAACAUAUGCCCCCCAUAUGUGGUUCGCAGACUCCCGCAUGAACCUCUCGCAUAACUCUAUCGGCAGAAGCGCGAUCCAAACAUAAUAGCAGUAUCCCAUCAAAUGAUCGUCUAUAUAGCGUCUCGCCACAAAUCACGAAUCGGGUGGCCAACUGUCUCAAUGCCCUCCUAUCCUUGGCCGUGGCGGCCUCAGGAUAUAUGCCGAGUCUCAAAAAGUGAUAUAUGUCAUGAUACCAGGGCAAACCAUCGUCUAUCUCCAUAUCAUCAAUCAAACAACAAUACGCAGGAGCAGAUCUCGACUCAAUCAACAAAGGGCGAACAGUGGCAUCAGCGGGAAUGUCGAUCAUGGAAGCUAGAGUAGCUAAAGCAUCAGCAAACUGGUUUUGCGCUCUAGGCAGAUGUGUAUAUCUCAAAUCCUCAAAUCUCGCGACCAGUAGCUCCAAAUACGCGUGGUAAGGCCUAAGCUUCACAUCUCUAGUCUUCCACUCGCCUUGAAUCUGUCUCAAUACCAGAUUGGAGUCACUAAACACCUCCAUCUGUCUAAUCCCAAGCUCGAGGGCUGUCUCUAACCCCAAGAUACAUGUCUCAUACUCAACAAUGUUGUUCGUGGCUGGAUGUCGAUCCGAGAAUGCCAAACGAACAGAUCUGGGAAUGUGAUCACCAUGAGGGGAUAUCAACAAAACGCCUAUCCCGUAUCCAGAAUGGUUGGCUGCACCAUCAAAGUACAUGCGCCAACCCGACAGACUAGUCGCAGCUGCGACGUCCUCGUCUGGAAAAUCAUCGUCAAUAGCUCUGGCAUCAGAAACUGGUAAUGAGGCUAAGUGAUCUGCGACAAUGCUCCCUCUGAUGGACUUCUGAGUGACAUAAUGAAUGUCAAACUCAGUCAGAAGUACCAGCCAUCUCAUAAGGCGACCAACUAGAGCGGGCCUGUCAAACAAAUAUCUCAAAGGAUCAAGACGAGAUAUCAAAUGCACUGAAUACUCGGUCAUGUAAUGUCUCAAUCGGCGAGUGGCCCAAACCAAUGCCAAGCAGUAGCGCUCAAUCGUGACGUAUCUCGUCUCGUAAUCUAGCAUCCUCUUGCUCAGAUAAUAAAUGGCUCGAUCUUUGCCCGAAUCAUCGAGCUGAGCUAACAUGCAACCUAAAGCCACAUCCGAAACUGAUAGGUAUAGGAGUAGAGGAUGGUCUGGUGUAGGCGGAGCCAAAACUGGAGGCGACAACAAGUACUCUCGGAUCCUCUCAAAUGCGCGCUGACACUGAUCAUCCCAAACAGUAGGUUGACUCUUCCUCAAGAGUCGGAAAAUGGGCUCACAAAUGUCUGUCAAUCUGGCUAUGAAUCUACUGAUGUACUGAAGUCUGCCCAGGAAGCCUCUGACCUCUCUCUCUGUCCUCGGUGCAGGCAUGUCAAGGAUGGCUCUAAUCUUGUCCGGAUCUACCUCUAUGCCUCGCUCACUGACCAUGUACCCCAAGAGUUUCCCAGAAGUCACUCCAAAAGUGCACUUCUUGGGAUUCAGCCUCAAUCUAAAUUGUCUGAUCCUCUCAAAGAACCUCUCAAGAGCUGCCAAGUGAUCUGAUCUAUCUCGGGAUUUCACUAUCAUGUCGUCUACAUAAACCUCGACAUCCCGAUGCAUCAUGUCAUGGAAGAGUGUGGUCGCUGCUCUCUGAUAGGUGGCUCCUGCGUUCUUCAAUCCGAAUGGCAUGACUCUAUAGCAAUAAGUACCCCACUCGGUAAUGAAGGACGUCUUCUCCAUGUCCUCUGGAGCCAUCAAGAUCUGACUAUACCCGGAAAAUCCGUCCAUAAAGGACAACAUCGAGUGACCUGCUGUACUGUCAACUAACAUGUCGAUGUGUGGGAGAGGAAAAUCAUCUUUAGGACUGGCCUUGUUGAGAUCUCGGAAAUCAACACAGACUCUCACCUUGCCGUCUUUUUUGGGAACAGGGACGACAUUGGCCAGCCACUCUGGGUACUCGACUACUGAUAGAAAUCCUACACUGAGCUGCUUCUGAAUCUCCUUUUUCACCUGCAAGCUCCAACGAGGGUGCAAUCGUCUCAACCUCUGCUUAACCGGUCUGGCAUGGGGCAGAAGUGGCAAACGAUGCUGGACGAUGGAUGGAUCAAGGCCCGGCAUGUCCUCAUAGGACCAUGCGAAAACGUCCAAGUAGGAUCUGAGCAGCUGGAUGAGACUAUCUCUCUCAUCUGAGGAUAAAUCUGACCCGAUCCUCAACUCCCUAGGCUGAUCUGCGGUGCCGAAAUCAACAAUCUAUGUGUCUCCUACAGCAGGUGAAACCCUCUGAUCAACGGGAUCCGAAUCGGAAACAGAAGAUGAGUCAUCAUCUGAGUCGUGCUGUGCAAUCUCAUCAUCAAUAUCAAAAAUCUGUGAUGUGGGUGAAGAUGGUGCAGAUAAAUCAAUAUCACAAGAGACAGGCAGGUACUAAAAAAUGCUCAAAUCCAUAGAUGAAACAUCGGAAACAAUGUCAGAACGGGAGACAAACCCCGACUGAACGUCAAAUGAAAGAGGUGGGUCCACAAAGUCGGACGCUUCCUCAACAAUGCCAACAUGGCUAUCAAUCAAAUCAUAAAAAACUAUAGCAUCCUUAGUAAUCUCCAGAGCAGGGGCUGUCUGGAUCUCCUCAACGAUCUCGAUGAAAGACACCCCGAAAAGAUCGAAUGGUGAAGUGAGCCCAGGAUGAACUCUCUCCUCGAUCGGGCCCAGGCUCAGGGCGAGCAUCUCGUCGAUGUACUCGUCGUGUGGGACGGCUCCGUCCACUAUGUCUCCGACCCCAGCAAAGGUCUCAUGCUCAUCGGUCUCGUCCGGGAAGCAAAGCGUUAUAAGGCUCGUGCGAUCUGGAGACGAAGGAGCAAUCAACACAGAAGUCGAAGAGCCAGGAGCUCCAUCUCUCAAUCGUAACUGAUGGACAAGGCGCUGAAGCUCGACCUCCUGAGUGGUGCUAAGUCCUCCAAUGAUCACGUCCGCACGGGUCAAUGGCUCUGAUGCCCUCACAAAAUAAUCAGAUAAGCUCCUGGUGUAUGGGCGAAGAGGAUAGUAGAAAGGUGUGUGGGUCAGUCACUCUCUCCUUGCGCAAACGCGCCAUGUAGAGAUAAUCGGCCUCAAUGGGGAUGAACCCGAGUCCGAACGGUACGUCGUGAUCAGGGAUGGCUAUGAACUCGCUCGGUCCAUGCUGACAUCGACCCAACCCCAUGCCGGGUAGAUAGGACAUGCUUCGCAUAAUAUCGAGCACCACUGUGCUCCCAUGCCGGUCAAAGGACAUGGCCACAAAAUCCCGGCAGAAAUCCUCUAUCUCCACAGUCUGCACCUCAUCGAAGGUGAAUUCAGUCAGAAAAAGAUCGUCAUCAGUGUGACUAAUCUCGAGCACAGGCUCGGCAACAAUGAACAUGUCUCCCACAGACUGUACCACGACGACCUGACCAUCGUGAAUAAACUUCACCUUCUGAUGAAGGGAAGAAGGAAUGGCCCCGGCUCUAUGGAUCCAUGGUCGGCCCAGAAGCAGGUUAAAGGAUGUAGGAAUCCUCAAAACCUGGAAUACAGCGACAAAAGUGGCCGGACCGAUCAGCAACUCGAUCUCCAAUGUACCCAUGACCUCUCUACGGGUGCUAUCAUAAGCUCGGACGGUCUGAGUGGAGGGACCGAAAUCAGAAGGAGCGUAUCCAAGGGCGAUGGCAGUGGCAAGAGGACAUACGUUCAGGGCCGAGCCAUUGUCCAAAAGGACAGAUGGGACUCGGCGGCCUGAACAGCCAACAGAUAUGUAGAGCGGACGAGUGUGGUCCGAGCCCUCCGGUGGCAAGUCAUCAUCGGAAAAGACGAUACAAGUGGCUCUGCCAGCCGUCAUCAUAUGAAGGAGUCCCUCGGGAGUGGUCGUGGUAUCAACUCUGAUCUGGCUCAGAGCUCGAGUCAGUGCGUCCCGAUGGGUACUGGAAGACGCUAAAAGGCUCCAGAUAGAAAUACGAGCCUGAGUGCUCUGCAACUGCCUCAAAAUCUCGUCAUCCUCUGCUCUCACCUCCUCCUGGGAUGACGUACCCCCUAAGGGUCUAGCGGGAGCGGCUGGAGGUGGCUGUCUCACUACUCUCCCUCCCCGGAGGAUAUACUAAACGUCCGGAGUCUGAGGAUCAUCACUAUGUGGAGCCUGAACCUCCUCAACAUCUGGGAUCAGAAUGUACGGCGCCUGAACGCUAUAGCGUGUGAAUGUCAGAGGCUCGGAAGUGGCCGCCUGUACAGAUGCUGCCUCAGGAACUAAUCGGAAUGGAGCAGGCAUCUGUGGCUCUAGAGUCACCCCACUCGUCUCGUAAAUCACAGCUGGCAUGAUAGGCUCUGGGUCUGGAUCAUCCCAACUCAACAUAUGGACAUGAUCAUCAGUCUCAUCGAAGUCCAAGAAAUGAAUACCACAAGCUGGUGGAGGAACUGCAUGUGUGGUGUGGGUCGGCAACGGGUUUGUGGUCACACUCGGCUGACCCAAGUGUACCAAACCCUGGUCUAUCAGAUCCUGAAUAGCGUGCCUCAGAGCGGUGCAUCGAUCGGUCUCAUGUCUAGGCCCCUGAUGAUAAGCACAGUGUAAAUCCAUCCUGAACUGAGCUGGAAUAGGCUGAGGUAGUGGCCGAGGGGUGAGAGCAGUCAAUAAACCAGCCUCCGUAAGCUUCCGAAGAGCCUGGCUCAACGGCAUGCCUAUCUGCGAGAACUGCCUCUGCGUCCUCAAAGUAAACGGAGCAGAAGUCUGCUGGGCUCCAGGUCGGGGAUAAGGCGCCGCAGGUCUCGCGGUGAACUGAGCAGCGUAGCAUGGCUGCCCUGUGGCUGUGUAGGAGACCGCGGGUCUCUCAAUGCCCUGAGUGGCAUAAGAAGGUAAAACCAAUGUCUGUGGCAUGUGUGUCUGAUCGUAAGCCGGACGAGGUGCCCGUGGCCUGUACUGAUGAGAUGCAUAGGAAGAAUGAGGCUCGAAAAACUGUGGGAUCGGCUGAUGGCGUCUAAGAGGCCUCUGACUGGAUGAACUGAUAGCACCAACCUCUGUCGGUCUCGGUCCUACGAAUAGUUUCUUCCCCUUAACAUCACUAGGGGAAGAAUCUGCCCAUAAACCUCUCGUGAUGCCGUCCUCGACAUCAUACAAAGCCAUAACCAGAGACCCAAAAUCUGUGAACGGGACCCCGACCACAUGUCUGGCGAUCCCCGGCUGUAGGCUCCUCAAAACCAUCUGAAUCUAGUCUCUCUCUGAUGGUCUAUCCACUAUCUCAGCUAUCUUCCCGCGCCAGCGGGAAAUGAAAGAAGAAACGGACUCCUCUGUCCUCUGCCUUAGAGCCUCGAGCUCUCUCCUCGAUACAUCUACAACAGUGUUAAACGAAAACUGUCGUAGGAACUCCUGGGCCAAGUCAUCCCAUGUACGGCGUCUCGAGGACUCCAGAGACGCAAACCAGCGCUGAGCUGCCCCACUCAGAGAUAGGGGGAAAAGAGUGAUCAUUUGAGGCUCGUCCAGUCCAUGAGCCCUCAUCACGGUGCUAUAAAGUCUGAGGUGGAGGCGCGGACAACCAAUACCAGUGUACCUCUCAAUAUCUGGCAUCCUGAACUUAGUUGGCAAGCUGGCUACCGGCAUACCCCCAAAAUCAUCCCAAACAACUGAUCCAUCUGACACUCUCAUCUGCCUCAUACACUGCUCGAUGCGGUCCAUGCGGGCAUGCGUGUCAUCAGCGACAACGGCCUGGGCGACUACGGGUGGAGUGAUCUCAGAAUGCCCGUGUAAUACAUAUGGUGAUGCCUGAUGCACUGAAGGAACGAGUGGGGGUGGUGGAGGUGGGUGUGAGUCAUAUGGCGUCUCAUCCUGGACUGCUGGUGGUCUACCCUACUGACCACCGAUCUCCUGCCUGAGGCUAGCCAAAGCCUCCUGGAUAGAAGCCAUGGCAGCCGUGAACUGAUCGACCGUGACAACCUGCUGAUCCAUAUCUGGUGUAUCUGAAACCCGAACUAAUCUGCCCUCUACUCUGAUCCACGAAACUAUACCCAGACUGAGAGUAAAAAUCCUGAUCCUGAAAGUACUCCUCUUCUGCUCUGAUCCACAAAGGUAUAUCAAGACAAGGAACAAAUGUCCUAUCCUACAAAGCACGAAGAACGUAAUAAGGAUAUGGCCCGGGGAACGUAUAGAAGAAAAGAUAAUCUGAACAGGAACAAGCAAAGCAUCCAAGUGAAGAUGAGCGAUCCGACCGUACUCAAACUCGUCCUGAUCUCAGUGCACUCUCAACUGGAGACUAAACAGAGGGAAAAUCGGAUCCAAAACUGCGGCUACAGAGGCACGGAAAGCCCUCAGAUGCACCCACGUGUAGGGAGGGAAUCCUAAUCGAAGGAUCUACGGCUCAACCUACAAGGUCAAGGUGGCUCUAAAUGGAUAAGGGUGGACUUUAAAAUAUCCCUAGCAGAAGCGAUUAUACCCUCCGACGGUACGCAACCCUCUGCACGUCUCCGAAGAGACGGGGCGCUUCCAUGCAAGGUGGUCAUCACCUCCACACAUGCACUACCUCGCAUCCCAGGGGGUUUCCUAUGGUGAAACCUCUCAAACUCUCAACACUCAAUAGUCGACUAGAGUGCACAGUGAAUGGUGUGGGUGCAUCCGAAACCCUAAAAAGCUAAAGCAGGAUAUGAAACACACUGGCCACACAAAUAUCCAUGAAACCUAGCUUCGGGCUAUACAGGUCUUCAAUGAUCGGACUCCAAUCGACAUCAAAGUGUCGCUCUCCUCCAAAAUGCUCCCGUGCAUCGAUAUAGCCCAUCGCUAGACCCUACUCCUAAUCUCCGGCUCGGUCAAAGAGCAAGCACACAGAAGGUCUCACACUUGCAAUAGUGAGAACCGAAAUGAAAGGAAUGACCGAAACCAAGAGAGUUGGAGGUAGGGGGAUAGAAGUGAGACCCACAUAGACAGGCAACAUGCAAUCAUACAGAGGGAGGGCAGUCAUGCAUCAUACGGUCAAGCAGAGUAUAGGAUAUAUCACUCAUGUCCACACAAAAAAAAAAGCUACAACUAUCAGGAUGAAUAGUGAUAUGAACAUCAUGCUCAAAAGAUGAUCUAGAUAAUAUGCAGGUCAGAGAAAACAACACAGCAAGUCAAACGAUGUACAAUAGUGAGUCUAUGCAUGUGAAGUGAGCAGAAUAAUCAGGAAGAAACAGAAUCGCUUUACCAAGCAAAACAAGGUGAGCAACCUAUGAUAAUCGGCAUGUCAAUGUACCAAACUAAUAUAGCAAUGAAGUACAAAAAAAACGACAUCCGAAGCCCCAAAUCAAGAUGAUCAAUCAUAUCAAUGUCACAACAUAAUAUCCAAGCAUACAUAAAAAAAACUCUCAAUGUGCAAUCAAGAGACAGGUACUCGCUGAUCGACUCAUCAAAUGCCCUGUUUGCUUCAUCUUAAGUUCAAGCUUGACCCUCUAACUCAUCCCCAGCGGAGUCGCCAUUUUGUGGACCCCGCAUUUCGGCUCAAUGCGUUCCCCACUCAAUGGUGCAUGCAGUCUGUUGAGGCUUUGCAAUGAUGGAACCUGAGUGCAUUGUUGGGCAGUCAUCCAUCCUUAUGAAAAGUUCUUAGGAGACUCACCCAAUCCUUGAAGUUGGAUCUGUUCCAUCCCCAGAAAGAAGAAUAUCAACAGUGAAUUAUGGGCACUACGUCCCUUUGACUUGGACGUUGGCCGCCAAUGUUUGAUAUGGAGUCGCGUUUGACUCAAAUGUACACUGACGCUACUUUUGGGCAUUGCCAUCAUGCUAUCCGUGACAUUUUAACUCCUGUCCUUCUUGCAUUAUACGAAUCAAGGAGGAAGAGUAAAUCAAAGUAAAACUCAUCAUAUGGGGCAACGUGAUUUUUAUCCUUCCAGGCUGGCAGAGACUCAACAUGAUACAGGGUUCUAAUCAAAGUUUGCUCUCGUCCAAAUACUCAAUCCUGUAAACAUCCAUGGGAUCAGUAAUGGAGAUAAGAGAAGGUCAGGAAUGCAAAUGAAAGAGAAUCAUCAUUGAAGUAUUGGGUUGAAUAAUGGGGUUAUCAUGGGAUCAAGAGGCUUAUGGCUUGGUGACAAUAGUUGACAUGGACAAAUGAGGAGAUAUGAAAGGCCAGAUUUGAGAGAUGAAGUCCACGUUUCUAUCAAGGAUUAUUUUAAUUGAUUCCAUCAAGGGCUCUCACAUGUGAGAUAGAGAUGGCAAUAGUAACAAGCACAACGAUGUCAAUGGCAUGAUUUCUGAGGCUAGUAUCAUAGGCGGCAUCCACCAGGCCAUUUUGAUCCAUAAGAAAGGUAGCAAAGUGCAUCGGGGCUUCCUCUUCGUUUUGGGUGGAAUGGUGAUCUUUGUGUUCCUCAACGACAUCCAUGGAGUGGAGUAGAUUGUUUAUUUGACAGUAGCAAUUGCAAAUGGGUCAUUAAUGGACUUGGUUUUGAUUACCAGGGCUUGAGAGGUUUCUUACCGAAUGAUAUAUCCCAAUCGCGCCAUCUACAUGCAACACGUCAGAAUGAUUCUUCUGUGGAUGGGAGCUAUUCAUGUCCUCUGGUGUUUGAGAAACUGCCAGACGUAAACCAGGAAGGGUCCCAGUGGACAGAUUGUGAAAUUCGAGAGACCAUCAACGUGAUUUAUCAUGUAUAAACUGGAUUCUUACCUAAGUAUCCUUGUUUCCGAACAUCGUAAACCGCGGAAAUUAACUUUGUACUGGAUUCCCUAUACAUGUGGGGCAGCGGGCUCAUCAGUUUGCUCAGUAUGGCUCCUAUGUCAUGGUAGUUUGAUGGGAAGUAAUGACAUAAAAAAUUGGGUUCGUGAAGCUAAGGACUCAACCAUUACCUUCUGGAAUAAUCAUGUAGAGCAAUCGAUUCCGUCCAUUAGAGAUGAAUUCUUUCAGGCAAUCAGGAGCAACACCUAUGAUGCCAUCAGCUGUUCUAACAAGCUCUGCAGCACCACUGAUCCUUAUAGUGCAGUCCCUCCACCCUGAGCUUAGAGGGAAGUGUUUUUGCAUGGCCACCUUGGGCAUGCAGCUCUUGACCAUGUGCCAUUUCCUUCUAUUCUCUCAUCCCCUGUUUUCUUGAAAAUAAUCUUCUUAAAUCCCAUUUUCAAUAAAAUUUGGUUGCCAUUUUCCUUCCGGCAAGCCACUUGUGCAUUUUCUUUGUUUUUAAAAUGUUUUAAAAAUAAGUAAGAAUUAAAUUCCGUAAUUCCAAGUGAUGGAAUUUAUGGAAUUGAUUCAUGCAAAAAUGAAUUGGGUCUUGGUGGGGGCCCUACAUAUGAGAUUCCAUGAUUGAUUGAUUUAUUUGUCAUGCAUGAUUGAUUUACUCUAUUCCUUGAUAUGCGCUUAAUUAUAUAUGUUCAUUGUUCACUAACCAUGUUUCAUGAUAGCGCAUUCGUGAUUGCCGCCCAGGUACGCAUCUAUUCAUAUUUUGCUCAUUCUUUAUACAUGCUUUGUCUCUCAUAUGUGCAUGAUUGAUUCGAGUAUUCAUUGAUUUUCUCAUUGAUUGUCAUGUCAGCUUCAUCUCAUUAGUAGAGACCCGACUUUAGGGACUUAGAGGGGUGCUACGGUCCAUACCGUACCUUCCCAAUAAGUAACCUGACCCCUGAACCCGAUCCGAUUUUUCACAGACCACCUUUUCCAAAAUAAGGAGUCACACUUAGGGUUUUUCUUUCUUAUUUUGUUUACCCUUUAAAAAUAAAACAAAAAUAAGUGGCGACUCCAAGUCAUUUUCAAAUAAUCAAUAAAAAUCAUUUUUCAAAUAAAAAUCGAGCUCGUCAUCGAGUGGGAAACGCAUUGAGCCGAAAUGCGGGGUCCACAAAGUGAUCUUGAAAAUUAUAAGUUAAUUAUGUUUACUUGAAUAAGAGAUUUGAAUAAUCUUGUAAAAAGAUGAUGUUUGUCGUUUAAGUGGAAGGUUGAUUUAGAAAUUAUCAUACAGGGAAAUGGAAAAAAAUACUAUUAUUUUGGUACAAGACCAUAUUAUUCAGUGGUGUCUCUAGAAAGUUCCAUUAGAUGCUAUUAAACAAUUAAUUUGGUGUCUCACUUGCAUAAUUUUGAGUUAUUGGAUUUUGGGUUUUGCAGACUCUAAUCUCCGGAGGUAACGACACAACUGUUGUCUCUCUGACAUGGGCACUCUCUCUUGUACUAAACAACCAUGACACCUUAAAAAAAGCUCAACAAGAAUUAGACAUCCAAGUUGGGAAGGAAAGAUUAGUGAAUGAACAAGAUAUAGGUAAGUUGGUCUAUCUCCAAGCCAUUGUUAAAGAGACAUUACGGUUAUAUCCAUCAGGACCACUUGGAGGACUACGCCAAUUUACCGAGGAUUGCACCUUAGGUGGAUACCAUGUCUCUAAAGGCACCCGUUUAAUAAUGAACCUUUCGAAGAUCCAAAAGGAUCCAAGAAUUUGGUCAAAUCCAACAGAAUUCCAACCAGAGAGGUUUCUCACCACCCAUAAAGAUGUUGAUCCUUGGGGAAAACAUUUUGAAUUUAUACCAUUUGGAGCUAGUCGAAGAGUAUGUCCAGGAAUAACUUUUGGUCUUCAAAUAUUACAUUUAACAUUAGCUAGUUUCUUACAUGCGUUUGAAUUUUCAACUCCAUCAAAUGAAUAGGUCGAUAUGCGCGAGAGCCUUGGACUUACAAACAUGAAAUCUACCCCACUUGAAGUUCUCAUUUCUCCACGCUUAUCUUCUUGUAGUCUUUACAAUUAAAACAUUGAAACGAAUAGGUCAAGUCGGUCUUGCUAGUCUUGGUUUAAAGACAUAUGGAGUUAGGUUCAAUCAAUCUAUGACAAGAUUUGGGAUUGUAUUAAAAGUAGGUUGGACUAAGAAUGAUGUAUAAUAAACUAAAGUACUAUUUAUGUCAAUAAAGUAUAGCUUUAUAUAUUAUUUGGUUAUCCUUGCUCUCCGUCUAGGCUCUCAUGGGUGCAAGGCCUACCCAUGAGGCCCUUUUCUCCAAAUUUGAGUCAAGUGGCUAAGGGGCUUACAACUAGCUUCUUUGCCAUAGACAAAUUUUCUUUUGUUUAUAUGUUUUAAUUGAUGCAUAUUCACUUUCUUCUUUUCUUAAUUAAAUUGCAAUAAUUAAACAUACAAUUUAAAUAAAUUUUAAAUUUUAUUUUUAACUAAAAACAAAAGUAUACAGAUACAAAUAUAUACUGCUUAAGUAAUUAAUUUUUAAAAAUUAUCCUUUGAGAACAUCUCAGACAAACUGAGACAUGCUUCCAGAGAAAUCUAAAUGUAAUGUUUUUAAAAGCUACUUUGUAAUUUUAUUUUCGAGCAUGUUGCAUAAUAUAUACUUUCCUUGAAUUGAUUUUCCAAACUAUAUUUUUAUUAGCAAUAAGGGUUAUCUACGUUUUGGAAAUUAUAAGUUAAUUAUGUUCACUUGAAUAAGAGAUUUGAACAAUCUUGUAAAAAGAUGAUAUAUAUAUAUAUAUAUAUAUAUAUAUAUAUAUAUAUAUAUAUAUAUAUAUAUAUAUAUAUAUAUAUAUAUAUAUAUAUAUAUCGUAUGGCUGAUUUGGAAAUUAUCCAAAAUGGAAAAAAAUACUAUUAUUUUGGUACAAGACCAUAUUGUUCAAUAGUGUCUCUAGAGAGUUCCAUUAGAUGCUAUCAAACAAAUAAUUUGGUGUCUCACUUGCAUAAUUUUGAAUUGUUCGAUUUUGGGUUUUGCAGGCUCUAAUUGUCGGAGGUAACAAUACAACUGUUGUCUCUUUAACAUGGGCACUCUCUCUUUUACUAAACGUACAACCACGACAUCUUAAAAAAGGCUCAAGAAGAAUUAGAUAUCCAAGUUAGCAGGGAAAGAUUAAUGAAUGAACAAGAUAUAAGUAAGUUGGUCUAUUUUCAAGCCAUUGUUAAAGAGACAUUACGGUUAUAUCCACCAAGACUACUUGGUGGACUAUGCCAAUUUACUAAGGAUUGCACCUUGGGUGGAUACCAUGUCUCUAAAGGCACCCGUUUAAUAAUGAACCUUUCAAAGAUCUAAAAGGAUCCAAGAAUUUGGUCAGAUCCAAUAGAAUUCCAACCAGAGAGGUUUCUCAUCACCCAUAAGAAUGUUGAUGAUUGGGGAAAACAUUUUGAAUUUAUUUCAUUUGGAGCUGGUCGAAGAGCAUGUUUAGGAAUUGCUUUUGGUCUUCAAAUAUUAUAUUUAACAUUAGCUAGUUUCUUACAUGCAUUUGACUUUUCAACUCCAUCAAAUGAACAUGUUGACAUGCAAGAGGCCUUAGACUUACAAAUAUGAAAUCUACCUCACUUGAAGUUCUCAUUUCUCCGGACUUAUUUUCUUGUAGUCUUUACAACUAAAACAUUGAAAUGAAGAGGUCAAAGUCGACCUAGCUAGUCUUGGUUUAAAGACAUAUAGAGUUAGAUUCAAUCAAUCUAUGAUAAGAUUUGGGACUGUAUUAAACAUAGGUUGGACUAAAAAUGAUGUACAAUAAACUAAUUAAAGUAUUGUCCAUGCCAAUAAAGUAUAACAUUAUAUAUUAUUUGGUUAGCCUUAAGGAAUGUAGCAUCAUAAUUAUUUCUUUGUUUUGUCUAAUUUAUCACCAUUUUUUCCCCUUCUCUUCUUCCCUUCUCUUCAUUAGAACAAAUAAUAUAUAGUCUUUUUAUUUUUAAAAAUCAAAUUCGAUUCCCAGUUAUAUAAGAAUUUUACUUUUACUUUAUAAUAAACUUUACUUUAAUCUUAAUAACUUUGACCAUGAUCUCCAUCAUUGAUUAAAUAUAGGGAUAAUUUCAAUCAUUUUUUCUAAGAUUGGAGUUAAAUUUACCCAUCCAUUAUUAAUUUGAAAUUUUAUUAAAUAUUUUUUUUUUCCUUUUUUUUUACAUGUAUAUCUUUUAAUUUAAAAUAAUAGUUGUCCGAUAUAUUUAUAUGAAAUUAUUUUCGAAGAGGUGAAUGAAACUAAACUUUUUUUUAAAUAUAAAAUCAUAAAAAUUUAAUAUACGCCAGCACGAUCCGGUCUAAAUAUUAUAUAUAAUUUGUGUCAUUUCAAAAAAUCAUAGAAGAUCCUUUUGGCAAGGUGGCCCCUUUGAGUAGGAAUUCUCUAAUUGGUCACUACAUAUUACAUAAUUUCAAAGAUUAUGGAGGAUCAUUUACCAAUCAUUAUCAGAAGAAGUGCUGAUUCCUGUAUAAAACUAACCAAUACGAUAUUUAGCACAUGCAAACAGAUUUGGAAGGAUCUGAAAGUCAAGCCUACGGGCCAUCCCUUUACGGCUUGUUCGAAAAAGCACAAAUUGAUGGGGUGCCACUUGCCAGCAGUCUGUUUCAAUAUCUAAAUGUUACCCAGUGGGAUUGCUUGAUAUACUUUUUGUCUCCUAGCUACCAUCUAUUAUUAUGGAGCUCCAGAGCUGGUAAGAUAAGAAUACACCCAAAAGCUGCUGGUGCAUGGCCAAUAAUCGGUCACCUCCUCUUAGGGUCACAACUUCCUGGGAUUUUUUUUUAUAAAAUUACGGUAAAUUUAAAAUUAAUUUUUUAAAAUGCGGCAUAUUGAAAAUAUGCUUGAAUAAUAAUAAUAAAAUGACAAAUAAUAAAAAGGAAAGAAAGUUGUCUUGUGGCUAUAAGAAAGAAUAAUAUAAAAGAGAGAGAUGAGGAGAGGCGGAUAGAGAGAAGAGUAGGCCGAAAAAAAAAAAAAAAAAGAGGAGAACGGGGAGGUGCUGCAAAUCUUUGGGCGUUCGAUCGUAUGACGAGCAAAACGACUUAUGUUUUGCAUGAAAGUUAAGGAGAAAAUUUUCUUUGAGGCGAGGAACAUUCCUUCAAAGUUCGAUUUUAGUUUCAAUGAUUGGAUUUUUUUAUUUGUGGUAAGAUAGUUUAAUCCUACAACUUUUGUUUAAUAUUUUGUUCUUGAAAAAAUAUUAUGAAUUUUUUUAGUGGAAGAUAAAUAUGUGUUAUUUGUGUUUUCUUUAUGUUAUUUGAAGUAUGAUUAUUCUUAAGGUUAUUAUUAUUAUUAUUGUUUUAUGAUUUACAUAUUAUUAUGAUUUUAUUUUUAAAAUUUUUAUGUUUGCAAUGAUUUAAUUGAAGAAAAACUGUUGUGUUGAUUGUUGAAAAUUAUUUAGUAUGUUGGGAAUAAAUAAAAUUUAUAUGAUUAGGGUUGAGACUAUGUUUUGAUGAUAUGUAAAUUAUUGUGAAUAUAUAUAUAUUUUAUAUUUGUAGUGAUUUAAUUGAAGAAAAAUUGUUGUGUUGUAAUUGGAAUUAUUGAUCAUGUUUGGAGUAAAUAAAAAUUAUGUCCUAGAAAAUUAUGCAUAAUAACAUGCAAGUUUAUUAUAUUUCAUAUGCAUCAUGGUUAUGUGAAAAAAAAAAUUGAUGAAAGAUUUUAUAAAAUGAAAAAGGAAAAAGAAAAUAAUGAUGAAAAGUAAAAACCUGUGAAAGAUAAAUCAAGAAGGAAAUGAGAUUUCUAGUGUAAAAAAUACAAAAAUUUAUCCCGUGAGUGUAUUUGAUAUAGAUGCAUAUCAUUAAGUGAAAACCCAAAAACAAUAGUUGAAUGUAAGCAUUUGCACCAUGUUUUCAUUUGGAAGAAGGACAUGUAUUAAAUACUUGAAUGACAUCAAUGGUAUGUUUAAAUAUAUUAUUAGAGAUUGAAAUAAUUUAUUUAUUUUGUAAGUUUAGAAUUAUUGGAUAAACCGCUAUUGACGAUUGGACCGAUGAAUGGGGCGGUUUUUCAUGAACUGCAUGGCUAAAUUCCAGCUCCAGUCUUCCUCCCAUUUUUCCUUUCAUCCAAAUAGUCCAACCUCCCCCUCCUCUUUUUCAUAGGGUCCAAGUGAAAGCCCAAUAAGCCCAGCCUUACAUUUUAAUGGCUUUUUGGCAAAACCUAAACCCAUUUAAACCCAUGGGUGGUACCUUUUUGGCAUGUACUAAUUUGAGUUAUAUGAAUUUUUGUAAUUUAAAUUAUAAUUUGUUAUUUUGUAAAAUAUUUUUUACUUAGAUUUAUGUAGAUAUUUGGGUUAAUUUGGGAUUAUAUAUUGAUCUAUUCAACUGAAAUCAUUGACCGUCAAAUUGGAUAGGAAUAACAUUUAAGGUCAACCCUUUGACCUGAUAUCACUAAUCGGAUUCUGAGUUGCCUUGAAUAGGGUGUGACUAUAAUGGAUUUUCUUCUCCAAUGCCUAAACCCUGUCAUGGUUGGAGCGUUUGCAAUACUCGUCCUCUCAUACCACCUGUUAUUAUGGAGGACUGGAGCUGGUAAGAGCAGAAUGGCACCUGAAGCUUCUGGUGCAUGGCCCAUAAUAGGUCACCUGCACCUGUUAGGUGGAUCUAAGAAUUUGCCUCACUUACUUUUUGGAACCAUGGCCGACAAGUAUGGACCAGUAUUCAGCAUCCGGCUGGGAUUAAAAAGAGCUGUGGUGGUGAAUAGUUGGGAGAUGGCCAAGGAAUGCUUCACCACCCAUGACCUGGCUCUGGCCUCCCGUCCUGAGGUUGAGGCCGCCAAAUAUUUGGGAUAUAACUAUGCCAUGUUUGCUUUCUCUCCUCACGGUGCAUACUGGCGUGAAGUGCGUAAGAUAGCUACUCUAGAGCUACUCUCGAAUCGCCGGCUAGAAUUGCUGAAGAAUGUCCGAAUCUCAGAGGUGGAGACAUGCAUGAAGGAACUAUACAAGCUUUGGGCAGAGAAGAAAAACGAAGCGGGCGUUGUUUUGGUGGACAUGAAGGAAUGGUUUGGGCACUUGACUCUGAACGUGAUUCUUAUGAUGGUUGCUGGAAAACGAUAUUUCGGUUAUACAGGCGAAAGUAAAGAGAAAGAGGCCCAGCAGUGCCGGAAAGCGAUUAGGGAAUUCUUUCGUUUGUGGGGACUCUUUGUGGUGUCAGAUGCCAUUCCUUUUUUUGGAUGGCUUGACGUGGGUGGACAUCUGAAAGCCAUGAAGAAGACUGCAAAAGAACUGGACGGUAUUGCUCAGGAAUGGUUAGAGGAACACCGGCAGCGAAAAGAUUCUGGUGAAGCUGAUGGUAACCAGGACUUCAUGGACGUGACGCUGUCCAUUCUGGGUGGUAGAGACAUUACUGAUUAUGAUGCUGAUACCAUCAACAAAGCUACAGCCCUGGUAUGCACAUUAUUCCUUUAGCAUCUUUAUAUGGUAGUAAAAAAUGAGACAUAAUUUCAUGCUUUAUCAUCUUUAGUCCAGACUCAAGAGUACUUGGGCCUGGGUUGGAAGAACUUAUUUUUGCUUUGUUUCAAGUCGAAACUAAUCAAAAGCAGCGAUUUUUAAAAGGUAAUUAUAAUAAUGGUAUUAUAAAAGUUCAAACAUAAAAUAACUUUUUGCAUAAAUCAAAAUAGAAUUUUUAUAUAUACAUAUAAAAUGUUUUUCUGAUCUUCAUAUUAAUUUUUUUAAGUCAUAACUUUUUUGAACAAAAUUAGUCAAACCAUAGAACUCUUGAACUUACAAAAAAGGGCUUUCGAUUUCUUAGAAGUAGAUACAUGUAGAUUAUGAAAGUAUGUUCCUUAGUCCGCAUGGUUUGAGGCCUCUUUGAGUGGGCUUCUAGAGUCGGUUAGACAAUUGGGCCUUUCAAAGGAUUUCCUAAAUUUACAUUUUUUUUAGCCCAACUUGAAUUUUUAUAAAAUGCUAUAUUUAUACGCGAGUUUCAUAUUCAAGCUAAACAUACCCAUUUUGAUUGGAAAAAAAAGGAAAGAAAAUGGGGCCUUUUUUCCACCCUUAAUCCUAUCACUACUUUUAAUUUUAUUUUAUUAGUUAAUGGUUUGUAUUUCACAGAUUCUGAUUGGAGGAGGCACUGACACUACAUCUGCUACUUUAACAUGGGUCAUCUCACUUUUAUUAAACAAUCCAGAUGUAUUAAGAAAAGCCCAAGAAGAAUUGGAUGCUCAUGUUGGUAAAGAAAGACUAGUAAAUGAAAUGGAUAUAAGCAAGUUGGUCUACCUUCAAGCAAUUGUUAAAGAGACAUUGAGGAUAAAUCCAACAGCUCCACUUUCAGGACCGCGUCAAUUCAUCCAAGAUUCUAUUUUAGGGGGUUACCAUAUCUCAAAAGGCACUCGUCUUAUAUUGAACCUUACCAAGAUCCAAAGAGACCCAAGAGUAUGGUUGAAUCCAAUGGAGUUCCAACCAGAUAGAUUCCUCACCACCCAUAAAGAUGUUGAUGUUAGAGGUAAACAAUUUGAGUUGACACCAUUUGGAGGUGGAAGAAGAAUUUGCCCUGGAGCAGUUUUUGCCCUUCAAGUGCUACACUUAACAUUAGCCAACUUCCUGCAUAGAUUUCAACUUUCAACUCCAUCAGAUGCACCGGUUGAUAUGAGCGAGAGUUUUGGAUUAACAAACAUCAAAUCCACUCCACUUGAAGUUCUUAUCUCCCCACGCUUGGCUUCUUAUGAUCUUUAUGAGUAGAACUUGAGGUCGCUAAGAGACUUAUUUCAAAAAACCUAGUGCUAUGAAAUGUGAAAUAAAAAUAAAUUUCACACAUGUAGCAUAAGUUUAGUAUUAUUUUCAAGCAGUUACUCAUGUGUGUCCUUUAAUAUUGUCUUAGCUUGAAUUUAAUGAAAAAUAUUUUCGACACCU